rnacentral:lncRNA from 1 species
CGGAUCUCUCUCUCCCCUGUAGAGAAAAGAAGUUGGUGUGGCGUGGCCUAGCUUAAGAAAUAAGCGGAGGCUUUUGUGGCAAGCGAUAAAAAAAAGUUGGCACCAGGGAAGGUGCGCAAGACUUUUUAACAAUUUUCCAAAUUUUAAAAAGACUCAUCGGGAGAUAAUAAAGACCACCAACAAAAAAAAUCCAUUUUCUUUUCCCCUUAAUAAAAGCAUCCAAACCCUAAACUGCCAAGAAAUCUUCAAUCAUGCCUGUAACAUUUUUAGGUUUGAACGAAAAAAAAAGUAUAUUAUUUAGGAACUUAAUAGAACGAUCAAUUCUAAGAAAAUUUAUGGGCCAAUUAUAAUGUAUAAAAACUUGUUUUCAAAUUUUAAAAAUAGAAAUCUGGAAAAAAAAAAUUGGUCGGCUCACUCAAAAGUAGAAUUUAUUUGUCUAAUGCCCACCUAGCGUUGUGCAUAAGCAAAGUAGAUACCCGUGAAUGUGCGCAAGACUGUCGACCGAAAAAAACAUAAAGGUGCGCCGGACUUUUUUGACAAGUUUCGAAUUUUUUAAAAGACUCAUUGGGAGACCAUAAAGGCCACCAAUAAAAAAUUCCUCUUUAUUUUCUCCUUAACAAAAGCAUCUAAUCCCUAUAACUGCCGAGAAAUCUUCCAUCAUGCCGUAACUUUUUUUUUUGUUGGUGCAAUUAGGUUCCUAAAUAAUAUACCUUUUUUGGAUCAAUUUUUAAAGAAAUUAUGGGGCAAUUGUAAUGAAUAAGAAAUUGUUUUCAAAUUAAAAAAAAUAGAAAUCUGGAAAAAAAGUAAUCUUAAAAUUUGUUUAUAAACGUUUUUUCUUUCAGAAAUACACUUCAAAGUAAAAACGCGCCUAUAUUUUAGCCCUUAAAGCCGCUUACAAAUUGCAUAUAUAUAUAUAUAUUUGGAUGUUGAAUUAUUUGAAAAAAAAUUGGGCCAAAUUACCUGCGGCCAACUUUGAGCCCAACCUCGGAGCCUACUUCCAGCGUCGCCGCCGGCUGAGUUGUCCGCGACGCAUCUACGCUGACACCACUGCGUGUCCAGGCCGAGCCACGCCUCCGUGUCCAAGAGGAACGCUCAGAUCUGUGGACGAGAAGAAAAGAAACGAGCUGUCACCACAAGUGACGAGCCGUUCAUAGAUCUGAGCGCUCGGAUCGUCGCUAGGAAAGACGGCCGCGGUUUAUUAUUCACGCCGACAAUAGGGGUGGGCGUGGAGGUUGGCGCUCAGAUCUCAAAUUGAAAUAUUUGUGAUAAAUUUAUUUUUUGUUAUUUUUCGUUAAAUUAGAUUAGUUCUGCAAAAAAUCACAAACCAAAUGGAGGAUAAAACUCUAAAUCGGUAUACCUAUCAAUUAUCAUGUGUCAUCCAACUCAUCAAUUUGAUAGUGAAAUUUAAUGUAAACUAAAAAAGUUUUAAUUUGUCAUGGGUGUAACGGUUUAUGAUUUUUUGUGGUAUUAACCCUAAUCUUUAAUGAAUGAGUUUGUUCUCAUAAUAUGGAAUCAAUGGAUUAUGAUAUAGGAUUACCAGUUUAGGAUUUCUUAUGCUCAUUUACCUUUAUAUGUGUUCUUUUAUGUUGUGUUUGGACUCUUCGAGCACUAACUAAUUUUCAUCGGGUUGAUUUAUUCCUUUGCAUGUUUAAGAAAAUGUGAACCAUCGCCUUGUUGGUCGCGAUGGUUUGGGCUUUCUUCUCCUCACGAAGGGGAGGAGUUCGACUCCUCUCACAGUUGCUUGGGAUCUUAAGUGGAACGCUGGGGGUGGUGGGUCCUCCCGCUUACGUGUCCCCCCAGAUUUACUCAUCGGCUGCCGACUGUACGGGGUUCCUGGGUCACAAAAAAAAAAAAAUGUGAAAGACCGUAUUUCUUUUUUCUUUUUUUUUUUGGGGGCAGAAUAAAGGAGUUUAUUUGAUCAUGUUUAAUACCAACUAGGCAACUACCUAUAAAAAUGAAUGCGUUGUGAACAUUUUCAGCAUUUUCCGAUUUACACUUACUUAUGUAGAUGCCAUAAUCACAAGGGUUAAUGUCUCAAAUCAAUUACCCCUUUUCAGUCAUAAUAGAGUUAUCCAAAUUGGUUUCUUUGAGAGAUCAGAUAGAAAGAAAGUUCGAGGAUUGAAGUCGAUAAAGCAAAAAGAGACAAGUCGUGUUUUGGUUACUCGAGUUGGAACUUUUCAUCAUCAUAUUAGAUCUUUUUAUCAAAAUUCUAGUUGACUUAUUCUAUAUUACCGUGAGCUUAAGAAGAUGUUAGAAAUAAAUAGGAGAUUCUUUAUAUCUUCUUUAAUGGUGCAUAUCUAUAAUAGAUUGUAAUUGAUAUUGUGACAUCCCAGAUGAUCAAUUGUGAUAGACACAGAAAUUUGUAAUUAUCUUUUGUUCUUAUUUGAGUAUAUGAAAUUUAGAAUAACUCGCAUUGUACUUCUUGAAAAUCGAUGUUUCCAAAGCACACAUAACAUAGUCGAAAACCACUAUUGGAUACCAACUGAAUAAAACAUAUGUAUUGUAUUAUGAGAUCUCGAAAAAUAGGAUAUAGUUAUUUUGACAUACAAUAUUGCUCAAGAUAAUAUCAUGACUUAUUCUGUUUUACACGAGCACAAUGUUGCCUCUUUGGAGUUAAAUCGAGAGUGAUUUAUAAAAGUGUGUUCGAUCAAGUCAUUCAAUUUCAAAAUUGUAUACUUUUUGUAUAAUUGGCACUUCUAUUAAAAUUAUAAACGGAGAUGUUGACGUGGCUAUUUAAUGCGAAUGUCCCACCUUAUGGGACAAUUACAACAUAAAAAGUUAUUUUCAAUAUCUAACAAAAAUAUAAAUUUGGGAAAAAAAAUCAAGAGGAGUAAAGGAAGAAGGAUAGUGCAGUCAGGCGUGUAUAUAUUAGAGUAAUCAUUUAGUCAUAUUAUUAUAAAAUCUGAAAAAGUUGACUCUUCUGACACUUCUUAAGUAUAACAUUAUAACAUAAAAGUUUGGCUUAUAAGACAAUUUUAGAACAAGAAACUUAGAUGCUGUUUCAUAACGUUCUGGGCAACAUCUGUUUUUAUUUUUUUGCUCAUCAGGUAAUUUUUUUUUCCCAAAAACAAAAAACAAAAAAGAAAGUUAUUUUUUGUUCCUAGGAGCAACUCAAGAGAUAAGCUUUUGUUCUUUUCUUUUUGUCCUUUUUCUCUUCCUCUCUUCUUCCCUAGCCGAUCACUGACCCGGCGAUGGCCGGCGAUUGGCUAGACAAGGCCUGGCAAGGUUGCCUUGAGGUUGCCCGAACUCCCCAGCUAUUGGUGAGGUCGCCUCGAGCUCGCUGGCCAUCGGCAAGGCUUGAGAAGGGGGGGCCUCGCCUAGCCACAAUAAGGCCAAGCCUCGCUUUGCCAUAGCGAGGCUCGGCCUCGCCAAAUCUGGGUGAGGUCACCUCGCCCAACCAUGGCGAGGCUCAGGGGGACCUUGCCGGUGGUUGGCAAGGCUCCCUCAAGGCCAACGACCUUGCCAACCCUUGUUUGGUCGGUCGUCGGCCGGUCAUAGCCAAGGCUGGUGACUGACUAAGAGGAAGGAGAAGAAAAAGAAAAAAAGAAAAGAAAAAUGUAAUAAAAUUAUUAAUAUAUUAAAAGAAAUUAUAAGUAACAAAAUAUUUGGGGUUAUAUCAAAUGAGUUUCUCUUCUCGGAAUAUGAAUUUUUUAUGGUUACCAAAUGUCUUAAAAUGCUCAUAAAUUGUUCUCCAAAAUAGAAAUUAAAAAAAAAUGUUUCUGAAAAAAAAAAUUGUUUCAAGAAUAGAAACUUCAUCAUACGCACCCUUAAUAGCGGCGCAUGCUAAUAACAACAACAACAUAAGUAGCAGCGCAUGAUAAUAAUAACAACGACAACAACGUAUAAAGUGGACCAAUUUUUUGUGUUGCUCUCUGAGUCUUUUUGUUUGUCCACCGGAAGAUUAAAGUCCACCUCCAAAAUCAAAUUUGGAGAGAGAGAGAGAGAGAGAGGGGAUAUUAUUAUAUGUUACUUUAGUGGAAUGGGGAAUUAUUGUACUAGCUGAUGGAUGUUUAAUCGAGGAUCGAUUAUUUGAGGAUCGAUUAUUUAAGGCGUUGUUGUCUUGGACCAUCAUGAAUGUCGUCUAUCUACUUUAGAAUCUUUUCUGGUCAUAAUGGUCCGACAUGCCAACUUCUUCUUCUUGGUCGACAACAUGCCAACUCAUGCACCAAUAAUUUUUUUUUUUUUAAAUUUUAAGUUCACGUGUCGCAUGCCAUAGUGGACUAUACAUGUACGAUUAUAUAUAUUUUAGUAUUGUUUGUUCCUGUGUUUUGGUGUUAACCACUUAAUGAAGACCGAAGAUUACUUUUAAAUAAAGUGUCCUAAACUUUUCAACAAAUUCAAUUUUUAAGGCUCCCGGGAAGAACAUAAAGGCAAAUAUGCUGCCAUUAAGAUAAAUUUUUAAUUAUUUUCUUUUUUGGCUUGAUUAGAUAUGUGCAACUCCAUAGGUCCAGGGUUGCAUUUCCUAGAAAUGAAUGGAGGUCCUGCCUUCUAAGAAUCAUAUAAAACGUUCUAUAAACGGCUCUAUAGGUUAAUAACCUCAUAAGUAACCAUUGUUGACNNNNNNNNNNNNNNNNNNNNNNNNNNNNNNNNNNNNNNNNNNNNNNNNNNNNNNNNNNNNNNNNNNNNNNNNNNNNNNNNNNNNNNNNNNNNNNNNNNNNAAUAAGAAACUAGACAUAUCUUAUAUUGUAUUUACCCUAGUUAACAAGAGUACAUGAAGUCACACAAAUUUCGACAUUUUUUUUUGUGGUAGAUUUAACUUGUAAGAUAGUUUGAUAUAAGUUAAAGAUAUUGUUUUAUAAUAAAUUAUUUAUGUACAUGAUUAGUUGAGCCAGAUAGAAUGCAAGUUGCAAUUUAGUUCACUCCCGAGAAUGAGCUGAAAAUCCUCUCGAUAUUGACGGGCACACUACACUAGUCAUGUUAGUGUGAGAAUCUUCCUGAAAAAAAUAAGAGAAAUUUUUGUCUGGUUUGGUCUAGGGUAGAAACAUAGUUUGAACACCUCAUUGAACCUUGAUUGUGAAAGUGUGGAGUUUAUCUCUAUAAGCGCUUCAAGCAUGUUCAGCGAACCAUGCCAUCGCAUUUUUCCCUCACCCUCGUGCCCUCCGCUCUGUUCUUUCUUUCUUUCUUUCGUCUGUGAAGCGGCCUUGCUCGUGAACCCCAAUGCUGCCGACGCCGUCGCCUCUCCCAAGCCUCGCCAUGGCCUGUCAAAGCCCCAUUAGCGGCUCCGAUACGUCCCCUGCGUCCGAAGGUUAGGGUUUUCUACAGAUUCUGCUCAGUAGAGAUUAACUUCAUGUUAAUGUGAUGCUAGUGACCGUGACAGGUUCCCACCAUCACUCCCAAAGCCCGCCUACGCCGUUGCCUCCCGAAUGUCAUCGCCGCGCGAGUUCUUCAAGAGCGAAGUUGGUUCAUCAUAGGGAAUUCUUUCCCAGCUUAAUCCAAAUCAUCCCAAGACUACAAGGGCCAAGGCACAAUUUAAGCCAGGUACCACCAAUAGUACAACACAAAAAGGUGUCUUUCUAAUUUUUCUAUCAAUUUUCACCUUUAACUUGAGUUGAGUUGAGUUCGAUGGUCAUCAAUUUAAGAUUCGGCUUCAUUAAUGAAGAGAAAAGAGUUUCUUUUGGUGGUUCUGAAUUGGAUUUGUUGUGGAAUAGUUUUAGUUAGACAAGCAAUGGCUAUCGGCAGAUGAAUACAGAGCAUUACUGUUGGAGCGGGACUUUACUUCCAUGAUGAUAUGUUGAUCUUUAUAAGGAUUAUGCUUGAUAUGAAUUUUGGCUCUUUCGUCGAGCCUUGAGCUUGUGGCCCUUGAGUUGGGCGCGUAAGGUUGAGGAUGGUGCGGGUUUUCAAAGGAACAACUUUCCGUACUAUUGUAAGCAAAGAGAUCUAGGCCUUAUCACAAUUGGAUACAUCCUGGUCCUUGUCACUGUCUUGCUUCGUUUAAACUGGAAAUGGUUUGAUUCGCAACCUUGGCAGUUUGCCAACUGGACUAGGAAUACUGCUUUGAUGGUGGUGACAAUUAUAUUAAGUGGGCGCCAAUAGGAACCGGGAUAACCUCUCUGGUUUUGCCUAUAUGUGAGCUCCCUAGACAGUAUCUUUGAUUGUAUUGCUUUGGAAAGUUGCAAAUUAUACACAUCUCCAUUUUGGCAUUGCUUCAUGGUAGACUUCUCUUUCUGCAGCCUAUUACAGUCGUUCUAUUUUGUUAUGUGCAUUUUUUUUGGUGUGUAGGUGAUGGCCUCUCUAUUUUGAGAGGAGAAUUUAAGAACCAAAAGAAGUUGCUGUGGUCCACAAGCUUGGAGGAGGUAACUCUAAAUUUUUACUAUAUGGGAGCUUUGUAGCCUUUCCCCACCAUAGAUAUGAGUUUACUUUUUGAUUUGAGCAAAUUCGUCCUUUGAAUUCGCCAUGCCUUAGAGUUAUGCAGGCAUCUUCUGGGAAUUCCCUUAGCGAAACCUUUUAAAUGAUUUCCACAAUGCUUUGUUGCUAUUUAAAUGGACAUAACUUGCUAUUAGGGAUUGUUAGCCAAUUCGCUGGAACUCUACUACAAUCAUUUCCUUUUGUGAUGUGCAUUUGUUCGGUGUGUAGGUGAUGGACAUCUUAUAGGUUUUUUUAUUGGUAUUUUUAUUUUAGAUAAUUGCAAUCACUUUGGUGUUGCAAAGUGUUGUAAGAUAUAUGGUUGCAUCUCUUGCGCUCCCAUCAAAUUGAGGAAAUUGGAAAGCUACACAUAGGUAAUAAGCUGUAAGGGUAGACCUUCAAAUCAGAUAUUUAAGAAUGCCUAAAAGUGGUUUAGCAAACAGUUUUUCAAAGUACCUUUUGAAUAAAACAAUUUAACAUAUAUUGAUUUUUUUUUUCUUUUAUGAUAUUGCUAGAUGUGCAACUCAAAUGUCAAGAUGGGAUGUACCUAUGGUAGCGAAUAAUACAUCUUAAGAUAAGUGUAAUUGAAAAAUAUCAUGCAUAAUUGCACAUUCUUUUAUAAGCAAUGUGAUAUUUGUGAAUGUAUGUCAAAAGUCGCAUCCGUUUGGCUUCUAGUCAUUUUCUAUAAGGUUCACCCUUUUAAGAAUUAGCAUUGUAACUAAAGCCUUUGGAAACUGAUAUAGAUUAAUCCCAGGAUUUUUUCAUUUCCUUGUCCCAAAUAGAUUAACCAAUGACUUGAAGCAAUACUCUUUUCUCUUGAACAUAACUGGAAGAUCUUUAUAUGUACUGGCAUAAUAGCCCCCUGGACAAUCAUUUGCCUCUAGUAUGGUUUGAAGGAAGCUUUUUGGUGCAUUUGUAGGAUUUACUUACUAAUAACCUCUUUGGAUUGGGUUUGUAGUCGAAAUGCAAUAAAUAUUAAUGUAAAUAUCUGAAGUAGGGUUUGAAUAGAGUUCUUUGAUGAUGCUCACUAAUGACCUUUUUGGCUAGAAUUUUGUGAUCAUGACUUAUGAGAAUCAAUUAAUGGAACUGCUAGGAUCUAUUCCAAUUGUUAGUUGCAUAGCUACUUACCCAACAGCAGGGGAUUUGGAUGUAAAACAUGUAAUGAAUCUUGGGUCACAUACCUCAACAUAAAAGAUAUUUGACUCGUUAAAUUUGGUGUCUUGGUGUCUUGGUGAAAUAGAUGAAUUCAUGUGAUAUAAGGGGAGUGUGACUACAGUUCUAAAAAGGGACCAUGGAUUCAAGUAGAAGAUUUCAGUUACAAUAGGAUUUGAGAACUACACAAAGAUAUAAAAUGAAAAUGCAAGAAGCAUUUUUAAUGUAGAGAUUUAGGAUUUUAUUUGCCUCACUGUACAUUGAUGGUAGGAUAGUCCAUGAAUAGUUUUCUUCUCUUUAGACAGAGGGAAUCUAAUUAUUCUAAUUUUUUUCCUGAACAUUUCGAAAUUCACAUAACAUAUUUCGAGAUGUUAGUGAGGGUAAUUUCCAGCUAGUUUUACCACUUUUGCAUUUUUCCUUGCUCUUGUCAUCUUCGAACCAUGUUAAUAGUUGCAAUUUUAUGUGUCUAAGUUUUUCUAGUUUUUCUUCCACAGACAAUAUGUAUCAUAAUGUUAAUAGCAAGUUGAGGGAGUUGUUGCCUGUUGAGCUAUUCACUCUUAUUCUAAUACACAAGGUAUUGCUUUCACACCCGACCCCCCCCCCCCCCCCCCCAAAAAAAAAAAAAAACUUUACCCUCCCUCCCUCCCUCUCAUACUUUUAGCUACACUAUUCCAUCUUGCGGCUACUGGUGUUUGAGGUGGAAACAUAAGGAGUGGGCUUUAUGAGGAUUAGCUGGUCCCUUUGUGAUUACUGCUUUUGAAAUCAGAUUGAGUUACGGGUUCCUCUCCAUUUCGGUCAUCUUGCAAAACAACCCUAGAGGGUGAAUUUAAGUGCAAGAUGGUGAUGCUUUUUUUUUAGCUACUUAAAUGUUAUAGACUCUCUCUCUCUCUCUCUCUCUCGCGAACGCACGCACGCACGCACACAGGCAAGUAGGCACAGCUCCCUUAAAGGCACAAAUGAGCAAUUCUUCUGAAUUGUGAUCACUACUGGUACUUAUUAAGUGUGAAUCAGUAUGCCUUUGCAAUUUCUGUAUUUCUAUAUUCACUAAUGGUACUUAUUAAGUGUGAAUCAGUAUGCCUUUGCAAUUUCUGUAUUUCUAUAUUUUGUGGUAGUUUCACUUUUCAAUAUUACUUGGAGGAUGCCUAUUUAUUUAUAUUAGGGCUAGAAAAGUUCUACCUUGUCGCGACCAAAUUUUCAGGUGUGAACCAUGGUUCACACUAGGGUUUAGCUAAUGAAUUGUUAAACCUAGACUUAACUCGGCUCUCCCAACCCCAUACCAAUUCGCGACUUUAGGUUCAAGUUCUUAACAUGCAAUUGAUUUUUCAAUUAGGAGUCGCCACUAAUCUAUUUUUGGUGGGUCGAUUAGAAACCCAACUAAUGUAACGGGAGUUUUACUUUACUCCUACGAACCAGAGAUUUAUGAGUUCGGGGACUUUGUUACUCUAGAUUUCUCUAACGCCCUUUCGGUACCUUUCUCUUUUAUUUUUAAAAAAAUUGUUUGGCAAGCAACUUGAAUUGAUUUUAAUUCCCUAACAUGUGAGGUGACCAUGUAGGUGCGCAAACCACCAAUUUAACACUCAAGAAAGCAAAUGAAUAAGUUGCAAAACUUACCUCAAAUAUUAAAUUAAAAUCCACAUCAAUAACCAUAGAUAUGGUUUCUAAUUAACACGCAAUUUCUUUUUUUGUUUUCACUUAAUUAAUGAAAAUCAUGCAAUAUGUAAUGCAAUAUUAACUAAAUGACCUAAUUCUAAUGACACGUAAAUUCUAAUUAAAUGAGCCUAGCAACAAUUACCAAAUCUAAUUCUAUAUGACAUGCAAUGACAUUUUUUAUUUUAUUUUAUUUAAAAAAGAAUGCAAUCUAUCCUAGGAAUUGAAACUAAUUUAUCCUAUGUCAUUUUUUUUGCAUUUUUAAUGUGAAAUUUGAAAUUAGAAAAAUAUGAAAAUUAUCUAGCUAAAUUAAGAUUUUAUCCAACUUAUAUUAAGGAUUAGGUCAGACUAAACCCUAACUUAAACCGGGAUAUUAUCUUAACCUAGCAAAAAGAUGCAAUUUAUCCAAAAAUCAAUUUAAAUUUAAAAUGAGACAUGCAAUUUUAUCUAAUAUGCCAUGACGUACAAAGAAUGCCCUAAUUCUACAUGACAUAUGCAUGAUGACUUUUUCUUGUGUUUUUGUUUUAUUAAUUUCGAAAUUAAUAAUUGUCAAAUAAUUAAACAUGCAAUUCGAGUUAAAAAUCUAUCCACCUAAAUUGAUUGAUUUGAUUUUUUUGCUUUUUUAAAAUUCCUAUUCUAAAUAUGCAAACCCUAAACCUACAUUUUUUUGGAUUUUUUUUACGAAAAAAAAUUAACUUAAACGGCACGACAACAAAUCAGAGCAAGAUUGAUAUCCAAAUUGACGAACCAUAUCUCACGCAUAAGAUUGGGUUGGCCAAUUUUAAAUAAAUCGCGAAUCGAAUCCCGAGCGUGAGAUCAGAUUGGUAAUUUUUCAAGCGAUUGCGAUUGCGAGUCGGAUUUCGGGCGCGAAAAUCGGACUGUCAAUCCCAAAUUUCAGAGGCAAUUUCAUGUCGGACAAUGCCAAUCUUACAUUAAUGAAUAAUUCUACUAAAGAAGCAAAAUACAAAUAAAUUAAAUAAGAUAAAAAUAAAAUCUACCUAAUUUGAAAUCCCAACCACGAUCAACAUCGCUUCACGACCCACGACCAAGGUUGGCCAGCGGUAUACUCGCGGUCAGGAGACCCGAAGUCUGUUCUCUAUUCUUCCGCCAAAAAAUAUCUCCACACGUCUAAAUUCUUCACGAGCUCCCGGCCUAAAAUUAAUCUGCGGCAACUUCAUUCCUCUUUUCCGAAUACGUGAGAUGCCACGGUUUUGUUGCUGGACGUAGACAAAGACACCGGUAAACCUGCAAAAACAGAGAAUAGUAAUCCGCGGGGCUUGGCUCAGCAAUUUGUGGUGCUGCUGGCGUGGUCGUUGGACUCGGCAGCAAGGGCGACCGGAGUCACGGAUGAUGUAGCGGCGUCGCUCGGAGAGGGCUCAGAGCGGCGUGCAAGGGCUUCGGCAGCCGGCGGCUCGGGCAGCAACGAGUGAGCAGGAGGAAACGUCGGCGGGGCACGGCGGGCGCCGGGCUGGGCAGACCGCAAUAGAGCAAGGGGCAGCAGCACCGUUGCGGGCGGAUCAGCGGCGGGCGGCGAAGGAGCGGUGGCUCUGCGAGGACGCGGACAGAGAGCUGGAGCAGCAACAACGGAGGUCGAGUAGGGCAGCAGCAGGUCAAUAGCGGCUGUGGGGGCGUCGGGUCGCGGUGAGGAGGCGGGUCACGGCUGUGGCUUCGGCGGUGGUGCUACUGUCACGGCAGGGUUGUAGCAGAUCGGGACAGCAGCUUCGCGGGGCUGGUGGAGCGGAUCGGCAACAGCAGCGGGCUCGCAGGCGAAGCGGAGACUGAGGCGCGACGGAGCAGGGGGUUGCUGCUGUGUCGCGAUCGAAGAUGGAGGCUGGUGUCAGUUGCAGGCGUGAUCGGAACGGCUGAAGCAGGGGCGAGCGUUUGGGUGCAGAUCUGGCGAGGAAGGCCCGAGAUCUGCUGUCGUCGGGGUUGCCGGCCGUCGGGCUGAGGUCGCUGCAGGACGCGGCAAUGCGGCGGUGGUGAAUCGGCGACGAAACAGGGGAGCCCGGGACAGAGCAGGGGCGUCGGGUCGUCGGUUCUGCUGUCGGCGUUGGGUGGAGGCGCGGUGCGGUGCGAUGGCGCAGCGCUGGUCGCUCAGGUGAAGGUGAAGCCUGGACGGCUGCAGGGCUCGACGAAGCUGCUGCGCGAGGAAGAAGAAGACCCUGUUUUCUUCUUCUUCUUUUUCUUUUUCCUGCUCUGCUGCACGUCUCUCUCUCUCUGUUGUCACUGUUCCGGCUGCACCUUUUUCACUUUUUUCAGCAAAAGCAGGACCCUUUGACUCUUACAAAACCCUAAAAACGAUGGAGAAUUUCUCUUUUCGGCUUCUAUUUCUUUUUGCCGAGCAAGAUGAAGAAAACCCCCAAUGCGGCCGUGUCUUUCUAUCGUGGGGCCUCCUCCUCAAACCCUACGCACUUAAUCUAUUUAUAAGCCACGAUUAGGAUUUUAAUUUUUCCAAAUCUGUAUCCACGAAAAUUCCUUUUUCCAAAUGCAAUAUUUGCUUUUGAUACGAUUUAGGAUUGCAAGAGAAUUCUUCUAAAAUUUGAAAUCUCGCACAAAUCAAUUCGUAAAAUCUUUCCGAGGAUACGGGCUUGAGCCGAUUUACUCCCUUUGUGGGCUUAGUUCAAUUCACCAAAUUAACAUUCUGAACCAUCAAUUUGAACCCAUUUGUCACCGUCCCAAUGUAAAUGCAAAUUAAAAUAAAUGCACCUAAAACUAUAUGCUAUGCAAUUAAUUAAUUAACUAAUAUUUUUUUAAGAGUUAAAAUUAAUCCCUAAUUUUUUAAUUAAAAAUGUCACCAAAAUUUAGGUGUCAACAUACAUUUUCUGUUUCCAUUUAGUAAAAAACUAUUAGUUUCAGGAGUCUCCUCUUCCAUUUACUUAUAAUCUUAUUGAUUACUUGACUUACCUCUGUUAAUUUCUGUUAACUUUGCCAGUCUAAUGGACAUCAAUUUAGGUGUGGUCAUGGUAGGCCUUUUAUUUUGAGUGUAUUCGAUAUUUAGUCUACAUAAAUGAAUUAUUAAGUUAUAAAGUUUGUGCAAUUUAUGUUAUUAAUUUCAUUCUUUCAAUAUAAUGCACAUACAUAUAAUUAUGGGCCAAUGUAGGUUGAUAUGGCAUUUGUGUUCAAGGUUUAAGUAUAAGCUUGGAUUAAUUUUCAUGACAUUCCAUUUUUUUAGUGCCUCCGACGCCUAUACAAUGAGAGAUGCAUGAUGCAUGUGUUCAGCAACUUGAAGCACUUUUCAACCAUCCUUGCGGUUGUCAUGAUACAUAGGCACUUUGCUCGUUGUACGUUGUCCUUAACUAGUAGUCCAACAAGAUUGGGCUUUCUCUGCUAAGCAGCUCUUAAAGCCCAUGUGGCAUAGAAGAUGUCAUGUGUCAAACCUUUCGGGUUGUCCUCCUGCUACUCUCCAUAUAAGCAACAAAAGAUCUCUAUUCUCUAUCACCGCCAAAACAUGGAUAGAAGUUCUAUGUAAUUAAGUGGCUUUCACUUACCAUAUACUUCAUGUUCUCUGCUUAUAUAUUUUAGUUUCUAGUGGUGAGAUACUUUGGAUCGAGUUUAUGUAAAAGUUUCCUUUUCUUUCUCUGGGUGAAAAAAUGAGUUUACAUAAGUUGAUGACGUAGCAGAAGAGGAGUAAUGCCGUAUAAAACCGCAUGUGCUAUCGAGUUAAGCGAAGAAUGCAACCACCUAAUUAUAGGCAAAACUAGAAGGCAGCAAAUGCAUUUCUCAUGAAAUAAUUUGGUUUAUUGCAGAAUGACUUCGUCAUAGGCAAAAUGAAUGCAACCCAGUUCAAAACUAAUUCUAGAUAGAGACUUCCAAAGUAAAUUUCUGUUUGAUGUUUUAUCUUUUUCAUUUUUCAGAUUUCCGUCCUUUUUCUAGAUUUUACAAUAAAUUUUUUUGACAUCAACCUUUUAUAUUAUAAUUGCCACAUAAGAUACCACGUUGGCAUUUAUCUUUCAUGGAAGGACCAAUUUGAACAUAAAAAAUAGUUUAGAGAUCCAAUUACGCAAAGAAAUGUUGAGAAAUAUGAUUAAACAUUUUGUAACGGUUCAGAAAGUCCCGAUACCAUAUCCCUCUUUUUUUCUUUUUUCUUUUUUUUUUCUGUGCAUGCAAUAUGGCUUGUCAAUCAACUCAAACAAGGUCAGUAUUAUCGAGAACUAUUUCUGGCAUGGUAUUUUCUAAAGCUUUGAAGCUUUCGCAACUACUUGCCAACACUACUGGUUUUUGUACGGAAGACACUUUGCAUUAAAUAUUUUUUACAAUGAAAUGAUAGAAAGCCGACGAUAAUAUCCUUGUUAGUAGGGGUGAGCGUGGUUCCCGGGUAGAACCGGGAACCGGGGAACCGAACCGGAGGUUCCGGUUCGGUUCCCGGUUCUAAAGGGACCGGUUCCGGUUCCCGGUUCCGAUUUUCUGGGAACCGGAACCGGAACCGGCACUAGGAACCGGAACCGGAACCGGAACCGGUUCAGUCAGGGCUCAAAAAACCCCCCAAAUCAAAUAUUCUCUCGCUUCUUCCACAGAGUCCACACACACGACACUUUUAGUUUUCACUGAGUUCUCUCUUCGCCCGUCCGUUCUCCAUCUCUGCUCGACGCCACCGCCGGUCGCCCUCGAGUCUUGACGCCAUCGCCGGUCGCCCUCGAGUCUUGACGCCAUCGCCGGUCUCCCUUGACGCCACUGCCGCUGGCCCGCUGAUCUCUGCUCGAGGGUCGAGGACUCGAGGCCACCUUCGCUCGCCUUGACAGCACCGCGGCUGACCUCUUCGCCCGUCCGUUCUCCAUCUCUGCUCGACGCCACCGCCGGUCGCCCUCGAGUCUCGACGCCACCGCCGGUCUCCCUCGAAGCCAUUGCCGCUGAUCUCUGCUCGAGGGUCGAGGACUCGAGGCCACCUUCGCUCGCCCUCGACAGCACCGCGGCUGACCUCUUUGCCCGUCCGUUCUCCAUCUCUGCUCGACGCCACCGCCGGUCGCCCUCGAGUCUCGACGCCACCGCCGGUCUCCCUCGACGCCACUGCGGUUGAUCUCUGCUCGAGGGUCGAGGCCACCUUCGCUCGCCCUCGACAGCACCGCGGCUGACCUCUGGCUCACCGUUUGCCCUCGACGGCACCGUCGCUCGCCCUCGACACCACCGCUCGCUGAUCCCUGCUCGAGGCCACCUCCUCUCGCCCUCGACGACACAGCCGCUAACCUCUGGCUGACCGCUUGCCCUCGACGCCAUCGUCGCUCACCCUCGACGCCACCACUCGCUGACCCCUGCUCGAGGCCACCUCUGCUCUCCCUUGACGGCACCGCCGCUGACCUCUAGCUCGCCGCUCGCCCUCGACGCCACCGUCGCUCGCCCUCGACGCCACCGCCGCUCACCCUCGACACCACCACUCGCUGACCCCUGCUCGAGGCCACCUCCGCUCUCCCUCGACGGUAAGAUGCUAUUUGCACAAUUACUUAUGAUUUAACGAUGAUGCUUAAUACCUUGUGAAGUCUUGUGAGAUAACUAUUUAUUAAAUGUCACUAAUUUGAUUGAUGAAAAACCCUUGCAGGAACUGCGCGUGAAUAGUGUGUUUGGUGGCAUUGCUUUGAGCCUUGAGGUAUUUAAGAAAAGAGGUCAUCAACGGAAGCAUAAAGUGAGUUUCUUUUCUGCGUUUUGUUUUGGUCGACUGUUGGUUCAUAAUUUGCCAGACUACUGAGUUAAUUGUGUGGCAGACGUGUCCGGUUUAGUCAUUCGCUGUCUUCGGAGGAAAGCACCGUUUCUCAGCUUGGCUUGUUUUCUUAUUGGGCCAUCAGGAACUUAAUCUCAGUCAAAGUAAAAUGUGGGUACUUUCUUGACUGCUUCCUGGACUCAUCUCUGCGUUUUUGUCUUGAACUGCUCGUCUCUCCUUCCAGUAUGUUGCUUAUGGUAGGGGACUUCAUACUUUGUUUGGCUGCUUUUGUCCCGUUUCUUUCUUCUAUCCGUUGGCUUGUUCGACCUUGUUCUGUUUUAUUUGCUUGCUUAUAGCUAUAUAUGUCUAAUAUUAUUCGUGUAUCAUAUAAAAAGCUAUGCCGGAUGAUCAUUCUGUUAAUGAAAAAAGAUGUUAGAUGUAACUUGUAAUUAUGGUUCACCGAGUGGUUUGUCCCAGAUCUCCCAUGAUCAUUCGGAAAGUCAUACGUAUGCUUAGAAUAUUGUCUGCCUUGUGUUGCUCGUCAAAAUUCUCAGCAAAUGAUCAAGAUGAAAGUUCGUUUGAUUAUGCUUCAAACUGCAUAAUUUGUGGGCUGUGAUUUCUUCGGUCUACAAGAAGUUAAUUAGCUAGAGGAAGUGAGAGUCCCUUCCUUCUUUAUGAAUAAAAAAGCAUCAGAACAGUUGAAAUUGGAAUCUCAGGCCACNNNNNNNNNNNNNNNNNNNNNNNNNNNNNNNNNNNNNNNNNNNNNNNNNNNNNNNNNNNNNNNNNNNNNNNNNNNNNNNNNNNNNNNNNNNNNNNNNNNNNNNNNNNNNNNNNNNNNNNNNNNNNNNNNNNNNNNNNNNNNNNNNNNNNNNNNNNNNNNNNNNNNNNNNNNNNNNNNNNNNNNNNNNNNNNNNNNNNNNNNNNNNNNNNNNNNNNNNNNNNNNNNNNNNNNNNNNNNNNNNNNNNNNNNNNNNNNNNNNNNNNNNNUAUGUCAAAAUAUUAUUUAUAGUUUGGCAAUUGUGCUUGCAUUUUGAGUUCCAGGCUGAAGUAUUUGCAUUUCACUCAGUCUUUAAGAUACACUUUGUCUGAUGGAUCAUCACCGUAAUACUCCUUGUUUGAACAUCUGAACCACAUGGAUAAGAAAGGAGAAACUGGAAAACUUUAGUUGCGUUUUCUAAUAGCUAAAGGUCCAGUUCUCUUGUGCUGAUCUUUCCAUUGUUGUCUCAGCUUCUCCCUUUAAAUCAUGACCCCUUUUUUUUCUAUUAGUCUCUUAGUUGGCAUUUGAUUGAUAUCUGAAAUUCUUUUUGCAGCAAGUCGAAGGAUUAAAUUUCUUCCGCUCAAGGCUAGCUUUUGGGAAAUCAUAAGAUCAAGGUAAAUGACAAAUCAUUAAUGCCUUGAUUAUGUUGUCAAGCAUAUGAUGCACAUGCACCCGAAUUGCAAAUAUCAUAUAUUACAGGUUCAAUAUAUGUGUGCGAACUAGGGACCAAUAUUUUUUCGACAAGUGUAUUGGAAGAUCUUGGCCAAUGGACCUUUUAGGCUUAAUGAAGCGACCAAUAAAUUUAAUGUUUGUUUUCCAUGCAAUCCUCCUCAAUAAUUAGGGAGGAAAUCUCUUUUCUAAAUGUAAAGAGAGAUGAUGUUGUGAACGGAUUCAUUACAAUUUUCAUGGAAUUAAAGGAUUAUCUUAAUUCUCUUCUAACAUCCUCACUGUUUUGAUUUCGAUGGGCAUCUCUUUUUUAUAGUGUUGUCUCUUCAUUUUGUGUCAUUUUAUACGUCCUUAUUAUUAGUACGUUUUUUAUCGCUAUCAAAAUGUUUCAAUGUAAAUCUUUUUUAAUUCCAAAAAAGGUUAACAAGUGUUAAAGCAGUGUCUUUUUUGAAUUUGUAAAGCUGGUGUAAACCCGGCGAGAGAGAUCUUCCAUGGCCAUAUUUGUUGGAAUUGGCGAGGAUGCUAUGCCUCUAAAAAGCCCUUGUAGUUUAAUAUUCAAGUUCAUUUGUUUCUCUUGAUGAUUAUCAUAUAUUACAGGUUUAUUCUCUUUUGGCAGUUAUUUAAAGGAUAGUGCGACACAAAUCGUUGAUCCACCAACCAGUCCUGAAGAGGAGGAAGAGAUCUUACCUCUUUAAGAAGCCUAAGUUCUCUCUUGAUCCUUCUUUUCCACGGUUUCACCUUGCUGGUUAAGGUAGGCGAUGAAAUGAACAGACUGAAAUUGGUCUACUUUCCCAUGGUUUGUGCUGUAUUAUGUUUUUAUAUAACAUCGGUAUGCUGUAUUUCAACAUAAUAGACUUAACUUAUGUGUAAAAGUACUGUAUUAUGUUUCUAUAUAGCAUUAGUAUGCUGUAUUUCAACAUAAUAGACUUAGCUUAUGUAUAAAAGUGCCGUAUUAUGUUUCUAUACAGCAUUGGUAUGCUGUAUUAUACUGUAUUAACGUUGUUAUCAACUAAAUUAAUUAUAUUCUGUAAUUGUUAUGUAGUGCAAAGUUAAUGUAUCAAGAUAACACAUCAAUGGAGGUGGAGGGACAUGAUGAUAUGACUCCGGAAUUGGAAUUUUCUGACCAUGAAAAUGAAGAAGCGGCACCCCCUAGUACGAGUGCCAUGAGUAAGGUACCUGGUUCUCAUCUUCCUCAGGAUAAGAAAUAUACAUCAGAAUGUUGGAAUCAUUAUACAAGAAUCAAUGAUAAGGAUGGAAAACCAAUUCAAGUGAAGUGCAUACAUUGUGGGACAAUACUUACGUAUCGUGUUGCUAACAGUACUUCUGCAAUGAGGAAGCACUUGACCACAUGUAGGAGGUUUCCCCGUAAUGUAGAUAAGAGACAAAAAUUCUUCAUGCCACGUAAUGUAGACAUGGCUAGCAAGUCAGGAGGUGAUUCUAAUAUUGGUAGUAUCUUAUCAACAUGGUCGUUUAAUCAAGAACGUUGUAGGCGAAUGCUUGCUCGGUUUAUCAUUAGUGAUGAGCAACCUUUUUCCUUGGUUGAGCGUGUUGGAUUUCGUGAGUUUGUUAGUGAGUUACAGCCUCUUUUCAAACAUAUAUCACGUUUCACAGUGGCAAAAGAUUGCAUGAAGUUGUAUAUAGAUGAAAGAACUUCUUUGAAGAAUUAUUUUCGACAGAUUAAUUCUAGGAUUGCACUCACGACUGAUACAUGGAGCUCCAUUCAAAAUCUGAAUUAUAUGUGUCUCACUGCACAUUUUAUUGAUGAAAAUUGGAAGUUGCAUAAAAGAAUCAUCAAUUUUGUGGUGAUGCAUAGUCACAGGGGUAGGGAGAUUGGGAAAAUGGUGGAGAAAUGCAUUCAAGAGUGGGGAAUUGAAAAAAAGGUGUCAACAAUCACUGUGGAUAAUGCUAGCUCGAAUGAUGUUGCAAUUAACUAUUUGAGGGAUAAAUUUUUCAAAGAAAAGUCGUUGAUAUUGGAUGGUAGUGUUUUGCAUAUGAGGUGCACAGCUCAUAUAUUGAAUUUGAUUGUGAGAGAUGGCUUGACUACGGUACAUGACUCCAUUGCACGUGUCCGGAAUGUGGUUAGGUAUGUAAAGAGUUCUCCUGCAAGAGCCAAUGCAUUUCAGUCUUGCAUUAAGAGUGAAAAUAUCACUUAUAAAGGUUCGGUAGUUCUUGACGUUGCUACUAGAUGGAAUUCCACUUAUCUCAUGUUAGAUACCGCCAUCAAGUUCAGAAAAGCUUUCCAAAGACUGGAAGAUGACAAUUUAUCAUUUGCAAGUGAGCUGAAUCAUGAAACUCCUACUGAUGAUGAUUGGGAAAAUGCUAUUGUUAUUUCAGAUUUUCUAAAGUAUUCUAUGAUGCCACCAAUCGAAUGUCGGGGAGUUCAUAUGUUACUUCAAAUGAUUAUUUUGAAGGAAUAGCUCGUUUGUAUAGAUAUUUGAAAGAUGCAAUCAAUGCUUCGGAUCCUAGGCUUCAUGANNNNNNNNNNNNNNNNNNNNNNNNNNNNNNNNNNNNNNNNNNNNNNNNNNNNNNNNNNNNNNNNNNNNNNNNNNNNNNNNNNNNNNNNNNNNNNNNNNNNUAAGUUGAAUUUAUGUGGACUUUCUUGUAUGGACAAAUUUAUGAUGAUGAAUUGAAAGUUAAAGAGAUGCAUUUCAAGGUGAAGGAUGCAUUGGAGCGUUUGUAUGAAUUUUAUGAGCAAUCAUCUCUUAUUUCAAGUGAUCAUAAUUUUGGUGGCCAUAGUUUGGGUGUAAGUAGUGGUGCUUUUAAUGUCGAUUCGAGUGGUAGUGAAGGAAUAAAGAAGUAUGAUGGACAAGUUUGGAAGAAAAUGUUUUUAUACUCGAAUGAACAAGGGUGUGAUGACAACAAAUCCGAGCUUGAUCAAUAUCUUCAAGAGAAAAAUGAAAAGAAUCUUGAUAUUGACAUUUUGAUGUGGUGGAAGACCAAUGGCUCAAAAUAUAAGAUUCUUUCUUUGAUGGCUCGAGAUAUUUUGUCCAUUCCCGUAACUACCGUUGCUUCCGAGUCAACUUUUAGUGCAUCGGGUCGUGUUCUUGAUGGUUUUCGAAGUUCUUUAACUCCCAAAGUAGUGGAAGCUUUGAUUUGCACUCAAGAUUGGUUGAGAGCCGUUCGUGUACCGAUUGAUAUUGAGGAGUGCAUCGAGAAUGCAGAAAAAUUUGAGUUGGGUAAGUGACAUUGUUUAUAUCUUUAUAUAUUGUAAUUAUUUUUGUAUAUCUAUAAGUGAAUAUUUUUUUAAUCUCUUUUUCUUCUUCUUUUUAUAGAUAUGGAUGGUCUUAAUGGGGAGACUAUCGCCGGUAAAUAGAGUUUAUCACUGGGAGGAUGCGGGCCAAGUGAAGGUGCUGAUGGAGAAGUUAGAAAUCAUGAUAAAGCUUGGUGAGUUCCUGAAAUAUUGAGCAGGCAUGAAAACUGAAGAGCAUUUAACCUGUUGAAUUUGCUUGUUUACUCAAAAUGGUUAAUUUUAUGUUGUCUUAUUAACUAAAUGCUGCAGGUUCUGCUGGAAUUCAAGGAGUAUGCUAUAUAAGUAGAUGUCAAUUUUGUUGGAAAGGCAGUCCGUGCUAUUGGUCGCUGUGCAAUCAAGUUGGAGAGAGCAGCAGAGUGAUGCAUCAGUGUUUUGCUGGAGCUGAUUAAGAUUAAAGUCAAUUUUGUGGUUCAAGAAGCCAUUAUAGUUAUUAAAGACAUUCGGAAGAUAUCCUAACACGUUAGUCUCGAUAUCUGUAAUUUUUGGAGUACGUGAACUGAAAAGCUGUUCCAUUCAUCUCUUAAUUUAGUGGUGCUCUCAUCAUGCAGGCUGAGAAGAUUGAAGAGAAGAGGAAGCUUGAAGAGGAAGACUUAGCUAGAUUGACUAAAGAGAAGGAAAGCCAUGACUUAGAAUUUUUCUGUCCAUCAAUGCAAAUCUUUUAAUUUAUGGAACGAUUUAAAAAAUCCACUCAAAUCUUUUUCUGCAGGUUUACAGGUUGAAGCAUUAGUUGACGCAGCAGAGAACUAUCACCAAGUUCUUGCAGAAAAUAGGAGGCUAUUUAAUGAGGUUCAAGAUCUAAAAGUUGACUCUUCCUGCAUGUCAGGUUGUGCGCAUUCUUAUGAGAGAUAUGACUGUAUGCCACCUGUAUAGUUGAUUGGCUCCUCUUGUUCUUCUUCUUGUAGAUGGUAGUUCAUUGACUUCUCAUAGGUUUUUUAUGUGUGCAUGUGUUGCAUUAUAUGUCAAGGGUAGAAAUUUUCAAUCCUACGCAAGUUUUUUUCCAAUAUAUUAGGUGGGUAUCCUAUUGAUGUAACUGAUUCAUGUUGGGAGAUCUAUCUUCUCAUUCAGAAGACAAGUGACCAGCAAGGCAAUUUUCAAGAUAGGCUUCUUGGUUUUGCUGCUGUAUACCGUCUGUAUCACUAUCCUAAUAGUCCACGACUGCGGCUGGGUCAGAUUUGCUGUUAUCCUGGUUAAAUGUAACAAAGAAGACAAGUUUUCAGUGCUUUAGGAGAGCAUGUAAAGUGUAUUUUAUCAGUUAGUUUACCACUCAUGAGCCCUUUUGCCAAUGGCAACUUCCCAUCCCAAGGCACCAUGUUUAGUUUCCAAAUUUCCAGGAUUACUAAAGCUCUCCUUCUCCAUGACACAGUGUUGUUGAUAUGACUCAUUUCAGGCAGAAAGGUGCAGUCCUUGACGACCAACCAAUUCCAACUAAUUCAGUUCCAUCUCAUGAAAAACCACGGUUUUGAUAUUUUGUUGAAUGUGAAGAUGCUGCGGUGAGUUGCAUGGUUACUUUUCUCUUUUGUACAUGGUAAUAGCCUUUGUUUGUUAUCUGGAAGUGUUUCUUCAUGACUCUUUAAGCUUGAUGUGUGUUGGUGCAGAGUGUGGUAAUGAUCAGCUGCAAAUGUGAGUACCUUUCAGGUCUUGAAAAGUUGUGUAUCUGGCACCUUUAAGAAUUUAUUUUCUACCAGAACCUUGAUGAAAAUAGGCUUUGAUUGGAGAAAAGAGUUAUGAUAACACCAUCUGCAUAUAGCAUGGCAUCACACAUGUGAACAGGCGCAUAUUUGACAUACAUCUUCAUGCCUGUGCAAAGGGUGGAGCAAAAUAUCAAAUGUUAACUUCUCAGUAAAAAUUUAAGUGUAGUGAGGAUAUUCUUGUUUUCUUCAUAUUUGUGAUACAUAUCAUCAUGUAUGAUGAGACAGUUUGCAGAAAUCAUGAGAUUCUCUAUUUACUGCAUUCUCUCAUUUUUUUUUCCUAAUAUAUCGAUAGUUCUUCACUACAGGUCCUAUUUACUAAUUCUUCAUAUGGGGCUUUAUCUGAAGUAUUCAUGUUCUAUGGGAUCAACAAUUGCUGUGUUUGACAACUACUUUUAUGUUAGAAUGUUGCCUCGGAGGCCAACUUUCCCUUUUACUUCUAAUUAGUGCUAGAUAUUUCUUCUCCAUAGAAGUAAUAUAUUCCAAGCAUUGUUACGUAGGUUGGCUUUCUAGAGGAGCACUCUUCUGCUUACACUUCAAUUAAGUGGAUAAAAAUUUCCCCUCUUUUGCAAUUUGUUGAGGAAAACUAACCAUGCGUGUUUUGUUUCAGGAUGAGAAGUUUAUGAUUUGGUACUCAGGCCAAGAGGAAAAGCAAUUGAGACUAAGCUCAGUUACUGAAGUUAUUUGUGGACAGAAGACUGUAUGUGCUAUUAACAUGCAUCCGAAUGCAAAUUGGUUUUUUGAUUCAAGUAAAUAUCUUUCAGUGCUCCUUCUGUUUUACUAACAGGAAUUUUCACUUUGCAAGGUAAAUUUUCAGAAGCAACUUCAACCAGACAGGGAGGCACAGUCAUUUACUACAUUGAUUUAAUGCUGCAUUAUUCUGACCAAGUCCAUGCGCUUCAGUUGGAAAAACAGUUGCACUGUGCUAGUAAUUUCUUCGUCUGUGUUGCUAUUUAUGGCCUUGCUUCUAUUCUGUAAUCUUUCACCUCUUUAAUGAUUAUCCUCUCACCUUGCAGCUGCCAUUGAGAAGGAUCUAUGGGCAACUGGAACUGUCAAUGAAGAGUAUCUAAAGGCUCUGAAUGCAUUCUUUGGCAAUUUUCCACGUUUACAAGCCACCAAGCCUGCAAUACUUAGUAUUCCUCAUCUGGUCUGGUUACCUCCCUAAAGACGGGUUCUGAGGCAACUCAAGAAGCUGCUCUAGCCUCUAGAUGCACUUUUCCUGAUGCGGCAAGCCUGGUCAGCGACUCAGCAUGCCCAGCUGAGGUUUCAAAUGAACUCGAAGCAGCUCAUCCAAGAACGGCAAAGUUCUCGAUCAUAGUGGCAGUGAUCUCCUCGUUCAUGGUUGGUCUGGUCUUGUCGGCGAUCUUGCUUGCCACUCAGGACAUAUAUCCAUCCGUAUUCUCCAGAGAUUUGUAAGGACGGCGAAAAUCAGUCAUUUAGCACCAUCUGAAAUGUAAAUAUGUUCAUCGAAGGACAACUUGUGAAAAUGUCAGUCGACUUACUCAAUGACAAUAUUAGGUUGAAAGUCAGCAACUUUAGAGUGUUAUUGAUUAGUGGAUUGAAGUACUAUCUUUCUUCUUUUGUCAACAGGAGGACUUACAAGCCUGGUGGUUGUGGUAAAGGUUGUGGUUCCAACAGUACAGCUCCUCCAUGCACUGGGUAGGUGCCCUGCACCAUAUACUAUUGAAAGUGCCUUGUAUCUGUUGGCUGUACUUUAUAUUGUCGGAUGGAUUGUCUGUUUUUUCAAGCUAAGCUUGUCGGUCUUUUUUUUUUUUUCAAAUACUAUAUUCUCUUUUUCCUUAUGUUGAUCUUCUAGUAUGGGCUUCUGUAGAAACUAAGUGGAUUUAAUCUGUUACAGGUAUAUAGAGAUGAUGGCUCCAGUUUUAUCCAGAGUUGCCUGGCGCUGUGUAUGGUAUAUGAUUCAGGUGUGCCAUUUUAUUGCGUCUGGUGUUUGUCUUUUUCUAGGACAUCAAAGUGUCUGCUUGUAUAUUGGGGCCAUGUCAAUCAUAAGAGAUCUAGGUUAGAUAGGUAGGCAUUGAGUUGUGGAAGAUGAUAUCUUUAUUGUAUGAGUUUGAAUUUGACUUUAAAUUGGAUGCUGUCUGCUAUGGACCAGAAUAAUAAAGUAGGAAACUAUCUCAUUGAUAAUCUGUGUGUGUCUAAGAGGAUGAUAAUGCUGUUUGUGUAUAUUCUCUUCAAUGAAUGACAAGUUUGUUUAUUAUUGUUGCAUUCAUUUCCAUUUUUUUAAACUAAAAAUGAAAAAAAGAAAAGAAAAAAAGAACCUAUUGGAACCUGUUGGAACCUGGAACCGACCCUGGAACCUGUGACAGGGUAGGUUCCAGGUUCUUGGUUUGACGGGUAGGUUCCCGGUUCCAAAAAAUGAGAAACCUGUACCCGAGGGUAGGUUCCAGGUUCCAAGCGGAACCUGUAAGGAACCGGGAACCGCUCACCCCUACUUGUUAGUAACAGAGCAGUAGCGUCGCAUUUUCUGUCUUCAUUCAGCUAACAAACCGUGACAAGCAAACAGAACCAAUAUCAACAGGGAACCGCGGUUCAACUAGUCCUGAAAUUGCUCCUUNNNNNNNNNNNNNNNNNNNNNNNNNNNNNNNNNNNNNNNNNNNNNNNNNNNNNNNNNNNNNNNNNNNNNNNNNNNNNNNNNNNNNNNNNNNNNNNNNNNNNNNNNNNNNNNNNNNNNNNNNNNUACAUGUUGAUUUUAAGUCUCUGAAAAGAAAAAUGGAAGAACAUUCGAGGACACUUCAACUUUACCUUGAUUUUGUUUAUCAUGAAAUCGAUGUUUGAGGCUUAGUCUUGGCCGAGCUCGAACCCUUGUCUGUCCCUGAUCUUGCGCCCAUUUCAGUUGCGCCCCUUCCUAAACUUAAUGUCGUUCCCCUUCCUGAAUUGAUAGUUGCGCCCUUUUCUGAAGUUAACCCUCUGCCUCUUCCUAUACUCGAAGUCAUGCUGCUUCGUAAAUUUAAAGAACCUUUGUUCGCCCCUGAUCUUAAACUUGUGUCCAUUUCAGUUGUGCCCCUUCCUAAACUUACAGUCGUGCCCUUUCCUGAAGUUGAACCUCUGCCCCUUCCUGUACUCAAAGUCGAGCUGCUUCGAGAACUAGACGCUAUGCCCCUUCCUGAACUUGAACUUGUGCCCAUAUUAGUUGUGUCCCUUCUUGAACUUGAACCUCUACCCCUUACUGAACUCAAAAUCAUGUCUCGUCCUGAACUCAAAGUCGCACUGCUUCGUGAAAUUGAAGAUAUGCUCCUUCCUGAAUUUCAUGCCUUGCCCUUUCCUAAAGUGGAAGCUGCGUCGCUACCCGACCUUGAACCUUUGCUGUUUCUCGAACUUGAAGCUAUACUCCUUCCUCCGCCUCUUUCUGCAGGACCCCUUCCUGGAUUUGAACCACGUCCAGUUCCACUUCCUCUAGCUGUUUUGGCGGCUAUUCGGUCAGUCUCCACAGAUCUAUCUCUCUUCACCUGGACCACGUUGAAAUUCCACAUUAGUUUUGAAGACUGCACAACUGAGAUAAUGCAAAUAUUCAUUACUUACAGAAGAAAGGUCCCCUUCAUCCUCAACUUCAGUUGUAGCUUUGCAGGUGCUCUCAUGAUGUUCAACUCUUUCGCCCCUUUGCCAACUCGACUGAACAAUGUUAAAAAAAAUAAUUUUGGAUGUGCGCGUUGCGUGCGGAAGCAUGGUUUUGGUAUUGGUUAUAGUUUUUGGUUUGUGAUGUGUGCAAGUGUAUAGUAUAUUUUGUGGAGGAUGAACAAGGGACAAGGUAGGAUGAUUUGAGGGAUAUAGGACAUGAGAUAUGGGGGAAAUAGUUUUAUUAGUUAAACAAACUAGUUUGAUGAAAGUACGAUGAAGGUCUAAGACCUUUCACGGUGAAGAGUUCACCCCUACAUUCAAGGUGGAGGUAACCUCUCACGCACUCACAUGAUCAACAUUCAAGCCUAUUUAUAGGCGUGAAUCACCGCCAUACUCCACCGACAUUGAGUACAAAAAUAAUAUAAAAUUACAGCUGGCUUCUUGUCUUCUCUUGUUGCGACUUCUCCCGCAUCUUCUGGUGGCUUCUCCAUUUUUCUGUAUUUUUCUGUUCUUUACCACUCUCAGCCACUUUUGUUGACUUUUCUUCCAAGAUUUUCAUGCACAAAUUUCCCAUGCACGUAGAGCUUGUUCUCUUGAAAACUCCAGCAACUUCUAAAAUAUUAUUUUAUUGUGUGCCCUUCUUUUUCUUGAUCAGCUUGAGGCUUCUUCACGUGUCUUCAAGUUCGUUCUCCAUUAAGCUAGAAACUUCUAGAUUUGUUGAAAAUGGAUCAAUAAUUUCCAACACUCCCCCUUGAUCCAUUUUCGGGAUAUUCUAGACUUAUGUUAUAAAGUCUCGAACGUACCUUGAAAUUUCUCUUGUAAUUUAUCUCAUGCCUUUUAUUCUGUCUUCGUUCCACGAUCCCUUGCAUUCUCUUGUUGAAACACUUGCACUUGCCUUUGAAUACGCAUGUCUUUUCUUCAACGAUGUCCCAUAUGUCUCGGAACAUCAAAAUGCAUUUAGUUGUAGUUGUUAGCUCGGGCUCUGGCUCUGGCUCUCGUAGGCUCUGGCUCUGGCUCCGGCUUUGGUUUUGGCUCUGGCUCCGGCUCUGGCUCUCUUGGCUCUCGCUCGGGCUCUGGCCUUUAAUUCUGGCUCUGGCUCCGGCUCUAGCUCUGUUGGCUCUCGCUCGGGCUCUGGCCUUCUUAGUUGAGGAUGGUGAGGACAAACGCCCAUAACCAUCCGAUGUGCCUAUCUCUGGCUUCACGAUCCUUUACACCUGGCUCAGUUACGAACCUGGGUGCGUCUGGCUCUGAUACCAUGUUAAAAAUUAAAUGUUUUUGAAUUUGCGCGUUGCGUGCGGAAGCAUGGUUUUGGUAUUGGUUAUAGUUUUUGGUUUGUGAUGUGUGCAUGUGUAUAGUAUAUUUUGUGGAGGAUGAACAAGGGACAAGGUAGGAUGAUUUGAGGGAUAUAGGACAUGAGAUAUGGGGGAAAUAGUUUUAUUAGUUAAACAAACUAAUUUGAUGAAAGUACAAUGAAGGUCUAAGACCUUUCACGGUGAAGAGUUCACCCCUACAUUCAAGGUGGAGGUAACCUCUCACGCACUCACAUGAUCAACAUUCAAGCCUAUUUAUAGGCGUGAAUCACCGCCAUAAUCCACCGACAUUGAGUACAAAAAUAAUAUAAAAUUACAGCUGGCUUCUUGUCUUCUCUUGUUGCGACUUCUCCCGCAUCUUCUGGUGGCUUCUCCAUUUUUCUGUAUUUUUCUGUUCUUUACAACUCUCAGCCACUUUUGUUGACUUUUCUUCCAAGAUUUUCAUGCACAAAUUUCCCAUGCACGUAGAGCUUGUUCUCUUGAAAACUCCAGCAACUUCUAAAAUAUUAUUUUAUUGUGUGCCCUUCUUUUUCUUGAUCAGCUUGAGGCUUCUUCACGUGUCUUCAAGUUCGUUCUCCAUUAAGCUAGAAACUUCUAGAUUUGUUGAAAAUGGAUCAAUAAUUUCCAACAAACAACAUCACUUUGGUUGGCAGGUUCCCCACUCUCGUCCUUCUCCUCCUUUCUAUUUUCCAUACUUGUCGUUUUCCCUCCAUUGACAGCGCCGGAGUGCCCAACCCUUUCGUCCUUCAUUUGGCUUCUAUUCCCUGGGGCCUCAAAACAUUCAGCAUUGGUUGGCUCUGGUUGGAAAUCAUCAAUGGAGGAGUUGCCAUCAGUUUCGCUUUCAUCCACAGAUGCAGAGUCCGAGUCUUCAUCAGGCCUUGAAACGUCCCUUUCAGCCUCAUUCUGAACAUGGAAAUGAAGAGCAGAUUGGAAUCAAGAGCAGACGAUUAACUCAACAUGCUUUGUUCCGCUAGAAUUUGGACGGUUUACUUAUAAAAUUGAUUUAUUAGCUUUCCUUCUUUAAAAUUUAUCAUCGUUUGCUCUAAUCAUUCCAUACCAUGCCCAGCAAAGCCAAAAAGAAAAAAAAAAAAGAGGAGUAAGUCUUGCUAUCCCAUCAAGUUCCGUUUCUGUUUCUAACUUUAAUACUGUUAUUUUAGUGAACUUAACCUUCAUCUUGUAUUCACUUUAAUUACGAUAGUCUCCUCUUUUUUAGUAAUUUUAUGUACUUCACGUUUUACUAUCUUUUAAUUGUUAGAUAUUUAUUUCAAUUAUAAUACUGAUAUAAAUUCUUUUUCUUUUGCAUUUCGAAACUGAAAAGGAGUUCUAUUUUCUACUUUUCAUAUUCGUAUGAAAAUCCCCUAACAACGGGACACAUUGUUUUAAAUCAGUCUAAGAAAGUCUGUAUGUUGUAUUCUUUUCAUAUGUAAAAAAAUAUGCUUCAAAAUCAAAUAGUGUCUCUUUUCGUCCAUAAGUUGCAUUUUUUAGAGAAAUAAUUUAUUUGCUCAUAUAAAAGUUACAUCCUGAUAUAAUAUAUGAUUAUUUGUUCAAGCAAUACGCGCUUCGAUUUACUUUGAAAUAAUCAUGUACUAUUAAAAAAAAUGACAAUCCUGCAUGUUCGCGAUUUGCAGUGGUGCUAAAAUUGCAUUGACAGCAACUCAAGCCCACUGGUAGCCGAAAAUACAAAGCAAGUCAAGCCCACUAUUUAUGCAUGCACCGGCAAAGCGGUACAUAAAUGUGACUCACAGUUAUCGCUUAAACUACAAGUGGAUAGAUCAGCUCUGAAUUAAAAUGCAUAAACAUUUCAACAAAAUUAUUAAAGAAAGAGGCAAAACAAACAUUCUAAGUAUCUUUACUCAAGAGGCCAACACAACAGAUUCAUAGGAGGUGGAUCAUCAUAAUAUCAAACAUAUAUACCACAAAUUAACUACCCUUCGCUCUUUAUUUGAAGAUUGUAACUACUCACUUUCUAUAUGAAUGGAUACAUUAGUUAAUUUUUGAAUCAUUAUUUUGUUUUUCUAUAUCCAACAUUCACUAGACAAUCCUUUGGAAACAAGACAUAAAUGCAUUUAACAGAGUAGAAAUUUUUACUCUAGAUAAAAUAAAUAAUCUAGAUAUAAAAAAGUUGAAUCUACAAAUCACAAAAAUGUAAAGACAUAAAACAUAAAAAAAACAAAACAUAAUAUGUAUGUACAUAUAUACAUAUGACUAUGUGCUUAUUGGUAGCCAAAAAUGGAAAGCUAGUCAAGUCCAUUGUAUGUGCAUGCACUGGCAAAACAACAAAUAAAUGCGUAACACGGUUUUUUAUUAAUCUGCAAGUAAAUGGAUUAGCCCUAUAUUAAAUUGCAUAAAUUAGUCUAACAGGAAUAACAAAGAACAAGGCAAAACAAACAUUACAAUUAUGCUUACUUGAGAGGGAAACAACGAACUUACAAGAGAUUAAUUAUCAUAAUAUCAACAUAUAUGCCACAACUUAUCUGCCUUCAUUCGCUUUCCCAUGUGGCAACACUUGGUAGAAUCUAAUGAGUUCUUUUUCUUUUUCUUUUUCUUUUAAAUUUUCUUUUGUACAGCUAUGAAUUGGACAGUAAUUUCUCCAUGCCGCAUUAAUGAGAUAAUCAAAUUAAAUAGUCCAUAAUUACCUUUAUUACAUGCGCGAUAUUAUAUUUGUGCAUUAAUUAUGCCUAUUGCAAAACUUAAAAAAGAAAUAGUUGCAAAGGAAUGAUAUAAUGUUUUUGAAAUCAAUAAUUUAUGAUCUGUCAUCUAGCAUGUUAUCUAUGAAAAGUAAUUCUGAUUAAUUUAAUAUUUAGAGUGAUUAUAUUAGUUUGCUAGCAAUACUAAACAACUAAGACUAUCCAACACCAAAAAGGAAGAAGAGAUGAGUGACUGAUGUAAGGAAACAAAUCAACCACCUAAGACAUUAGCGUGCAACAAAAAAAUGGCAACUUUGAAAAGGCAGAUAUCAUGUCGCUAAAGAAAGGAGGACAUUUGGCCUAAAAAGGAAGCAUGCAAAAGUCCCACACAUUGCCGUACCUGAAGAAUGUCUUCUUUAUAAAGCUUCAGGGGCAGCUUUCUAUGUAAAUGACCAAAAUCUUUGAUAUGGUCUCCACAUUUACUUAUAUAGGCGAGGCAAUUAUCUGGUAUUUUUGUGCAAGAUGCAUCAAUCAACCUUCCCAAUGACUUGCACAUUGCGACCUCCAAGUAUUUCAGAGACUCUAGCUCGUCAAGGCCCUCAACAUUAGUAAGUACAUGGCAGCCAUGGAUUUUCAAACUCUCUAGGUUCUUCAAGUAUAACAACCCACUUAUUCUUGUCAAAGAUUCGCAAUGAUGAAUGUCCAUGAUUUUCAAUGAUUCCGAAAGAUCCACAACUCGUAUCUCAACUAGCUCUCGACACAAUGAUACACUCACUCGUCGUAGCUUCAGUAAUUUCGAAAGAAUGAAUAAUCUCUGAAGCCGUAUACAAGAAUGGACAUUUAAUUCUUCUAGUUGUGGAAGUCCCUCGAGUAAAAUGUCUUCGACUUCACAAUGACUGAUCGAUAGAGUCCACAAAUACUUCCAACUGUUGGUGGAGGACGGAAGCUGCAUGAGGGUUUUUAAGUCUAGGCCUGCCAAAUUAAGGAAUUCUAGACGAGGAAGAUAAGCCAACUCUAAAGGUCCAAGGACGCCAAGCAAACAUAACGUUAACUUUUUCAGUUUAGAUAACCCCUCAAUCCAACAUAAAUUGCAUCCUGUGAUCGGUUUUGAUAUCCCUCCAGCAAAUUUGUAAUUACUCAGUUGCAAUUCAUCCAACCUAGUAAGAUACGACAAAUUGGGUACCGAGAGCAAUGAUUCAGAUUGCAUACGUAGACAAGUCAAACUUGUGGGAAACUUCGGCAACUCUUGAAUGUCAUGACAAUCCAAUAAGUCGACCAUUUGGAGGUGACAAAGCAUGUCGAUUUUCCCAAGAAUUCGGCAAAUACCAGUGGAUUUUAAAUUUAGGAUUUUUAAAGAUGACAAUCCUUCAAUUCCAUAAGGAAUUUCACCUUUCAUUUCUUUAUGCCUAGAGAGAUCUAGCUCUUCAAGAUUUAUCAACAUGCCAAUGCCUUUAGGUAAAUGCCAAGCAUGAUUCUCCCUAUGUCGUACUGCGAAACGGAGGACGCAUAAUGAUUUUAACUUUCCAAUGGAGCUGGGAAGUUCCCUUAUACUCGUUUUCGAUAAGUCCAACUCUUUCAAUGAGGUUAAAUUCCCAAGCGAGCUGGGAAGUUCCCUUAUGCUCGUAUGCGAUAAGUCCAACUCUUUCAAUGAGGUUAAAUUCCCAAGUGAGUUGGGAAGUUCCCAUAUGCUCGUAUUCGAUAAGUCCAACUUUUUCAAUGAGGUUAAAUUCCCAAGCGAGUUGGGAAGUUCCCUUAUGCUUGUAUUUGAUAAGUCCAACUCUUUCAAUGAGGUUAAAUUCCUAAGUGAGCCUGGGAGCUCUCUCAACCCAAAACAUCCUCGCAAUGAGAAGCACUCAAGCUUACCUAGUGCCCCCACUUCAUCAGGCAAAUCAGUAAGAUAUCGGCAGCCUUCAAUCUCUAACUCAAUUAAGGAUUGUAGUUUUCCGAUGAAACUUUCAAUUUUCUUUAAAUUUUGGCAAUUUGCAAUAGUCAACCUCUCUAAUUCCAAGCACUCAGAGAAGUUUGGGAUUGUCGUUAUACCAUCACACCACCUGAGAGAUAGAACUUUCAACUUCCGUGCCCCCUGUAAAAAGGAUGGCAUGUCAAGUGUAAGAACCAAUGCAUAGUAACACUGGGACUGUUAGACUAGAAUCAAAACAUGUGAUUUACCUUGAUCAAGUCCCAUGCUUUUGAAUCAUCUUUGAAGUAAUUGUAGUCAAGUUUGAAAACAACAAGAUCAUUGAAAUAUAUAUUGUUUGCCCUGAAAUCAGUUAUCAAAUGCGAAGGACUGUGCAAAGAAAUCCAUUUCAACUUUGAAUGACACCUUGCAAAGUCCCCAAUAAAAGUUGCCAAUUUUAACUUGAGGAAUCUUAGGUUUGGAAACUUUUCAAACUCUUCAUUUGUGAUAUGUAUAAACCCUGUAUAAAUACCAAGAGAUCCUUCUAUCUCAAGUGCUUCAACUUCAUUCUUCCUCUGCAAGUGAAAUUUUCCAAUGGUGUGAAUAAGUUAGUCAACUUCCAACCACUAUGGUUUACAAUCUUGAAUGGAUAAGAAAAAAAUGAUAAACAUCCUAAAUCAAGCAGGAAUCCUUUAUCUUAGAAUAUACAACGUCUAUUUGAAAAUUGGACAUUUCUUACUUACCUCUUCAGUUCUUAUUAUUUCAAGGGCUUCUUUUGCAAUCCACACCCUACUUCGCUUGCUAGGGUCAUUUGGACUUUCUUGAUGGACGAUUCGCCUUCCCAUGUCUAUGAGUUGAUCAUGCAUCCAGAACUUAUCAUCGUUAAAUAUCUUUAUUAAGCACCUACUGGUAAGGACAUCAAUUCCUCUUACCGGAUAAAAAUCACAAUCGGCCCACAUAUAAAUUGCAUCGGUCUUCUUCUCAUUGAAAAAGAAGCACGCUAUAUCAAGAAAAAUCUGUUGCUGAUGUUCAUUUAGGUCGUCAUAGCUAAUCCUCAACUUCUCCAGAAUCUCUUCCUCAGGUACAUUCCUUAACUUGAUCAUAGUCUCUUCCCAAAAUGCUUUGUCUUUCUUAUUAAGUAACGAACCUAUCACUUCAACAGCCAAAGGAAGCCCUCCCGUACUUGAGACAAUCUCAUUGGAAAGCGCAUGAUAAUCAUCCGAAGGAAAGGUUUUUCCAAAGGCAUGCCGACAAAAAAGCUCAAGUGUAGAAGCAUCAUCCAUCUCAAGCAUCUCAUACUGUAUAAUUUCAUCUUUAAAUUCAUGACCUUGUAAAAUAGUAUGGUUUCUCGUUGUAAUAAUUAUUCUAGAUCCUGAAUGUAAUGAAUUGUUUCCUAUUAGUCUCUUAAUAUGGUCUUUAUUAUCAGCAUUAUCUAGAACCACAAGGACCUUCUUAGUGCUAAGUACUUCUCCAAUCCUCCUCAUUCCUUGUUCAAUAUCUUGGACUCCUUCUGCAGAUCCAGAAUCAACAAUGUCAAACAAUAGUUUUUUCUGCAAUUGGACUGUGCCAUCCUCGGUCGACAUCUUUUCUCGAACAUUCUCAAGAAAACUAGAACACUUUCCAAAGUGGGAAAGUAGUUCAUUGAAGACGACUUUGGCAACGGUUGUUUUACCAAUGCCACCCAUUCCAUAAAUUCCAAUGAGCCGCACAUCGCGAUGGUUGACAUCUAAUAACUCUGUCAAGUGCUUUACUCGAUCAUCAAGUCCAACUAAAUGUUCAGGCACUAAUCUUUGUUUCGGCUUCAAUUUCUCCAAAACCCUUUUAACAACCAAUUUGACAAUCGUUGCUUGGCUGCCAUAUACAAAAGCGCUUUUAUUAGAUGACUAGAUCUACCCACGCAUCACACUUCGGAUAGUCAAAACUUUAACUUGAAUAAAUUGAAGCACAUCAACGACAAGAUCCAAGUACACCGAAUAAUUAGUAUGGGCUAAUUUAGCACGAUUCACUUGAUAUGUUUUUCAUAUGUAGGUUAUAGAAAGGUCUUAAGACUAUAGUAUUACCUUACACAGUAGCCAAAGUAACCAAGUGGUGGAUACUAUACGGUGCAUCAACAAAAAUUCGACAUUUAUAGCUAAGCCUAGAAAAACUUUCAGCACUUGUAACGGGAGAAUCAUGAAGAGAAAUGCAGCGCUACACAUUGAACAUUGUAGUUUGCUUUCUCUCCUACUGAAUAUUGAGAAAUGAUUUUGCUUCACCAAAUCUUAGUUUCCUUGGGUAAUCAUAGACAAAGCAGGGGAUAUAAAGUUGAAUGAGAGCAGCAUUGGAGGUAGUUUUCAAUACUUCCCGUUACAAAAAGAAUAAAAUAAAUCAUUUGACAGGAAACACCGUAUUUCAUACAACAAAAGGAAAAGAAGAAAUAGGUAAGGGUCUUAAGAGAGUAAUUACCUUUGAUCUUUUGUUAUGGCCCAUCCCUUGAUUUCAUCUACCUUUACAAGAGCCUCUCUCCACGCCUCAACUUUAUCGGGAAACAACUUCUUAUGUUCCAGUAAAGCAUCGCUAUAUAGUGGAGUUUUAAGCUGAACGUCCUCAGGUUUCACGUGAAAAAAAAUGGGAAGAAUACUUUUUUUACCCUUUGAUUGAGACACGUUGUCUAUUAUGUGCACAAGCUCACGAAGACACCAUUUGCUGGAAGCAUAAUAUUGAGAGAAGAUGGGUAUAUAAAUCAUAGAGUUGUUGAUAGCAUGUAGAAGGUUCCCAGCAAUCACUUCGCCGACGCUGAGUUCAUUUUCGUCCAUGAAUACGCGGACUCCCGCAUCUCUCAAACCGUGAUAGAGGAAUUCCGUGAAUCCAUAACGAGUGUCGAGUCCUCUGAAAUUCAGGAACACUUGAUACUCGCCCCCUGAUGCUCGCGCAGCAUCACUACUCGAUCGAGCCCCCGAGUUCGCCAUUGCUAGGAAGCUGAUUACUCCCCUGUAGAGAAAAGAAGCUGGCGUGGAGUGGCCUAGCUUAAGAAAUGAGCGGAGGCUUUCGAGGCAAGUGAUAAAAAAGUAGACACCAGUGAAGGUGCGCAGGACUUUUAACAAAGUUUCGAAAUUUAAAAAAUAUUCUUUGGUUCAUAAGCGCCACGUUAACUGCUGAUGAGGCGUAUGCUUAUUUACUGAUACCGAAUUAAAUUUUGACACGUGGAUGUUGACAUGGAAAUUUAACAAAUUUUUUUUUUUUUUGUCUUUUCCCCUCCAUCUUCGACCUCCACUCCGCCUGGGCUCGACCAUCUCCAUCGCCCAAGCCGCCGCCGCCGCCACCGUCCUUGAACCGCCGCCCCACCGUUGCCGCCACGGUCUGCGGCAAAGCUGUUGAGCUCGUCGCUGGUAGCCAUGGACGAGCCAAGACUCGAGCUCAAAGCUGUUGAGCAGCAAACCAGAUCUAGAGAUGUAGAGGAGCGUUGCAGCAAACCAGAUCUGGAGAUGCAGAGGAGCCGUCGGCCAUGGGCGGCUUCUCGCUCUGCGGCAAAGCUGCUGAGCUCGUUGCCAGUAGCCAUGGACGAGCCAAGACUGGAGCUCAAAGCUUUUGAGCAGCAAACCAGAUCUACAGAUGCAGAGGACCGUUGCAGCAAACCAGAUUUGGAGAUGCAGAGGAGCGGUCGGCCAUGGACGGCUUCUCGGUCUGCAGCAAAGUUGUUGAGCUCUUCGCCGGCAGCCAUGGACGAGCCAAGAUCUGGAGCUGGAGUUGUAGAGGAGCGUUGCAGCAAACCAGAUCUGGAGAUAAUCUCCGCGUCCACCCUCUCCGUCGUUAGUCAUUCUGAGCGGCGNNNNNNNNNNNNNNNNNNNNNNNNNNNNNNNNNNNNNNNNNNNNNNNNNNNNNNNNNNNNNNNNNNNNNNNNNNNNNNNNNNNNNNNNNNNNNNNNNNNNCUGCUACAAUACGGUCCAUCCGGAUUCGAGGCCAUCAUUAAGGGAUCUUUAAUUUAUUUUUUUAAUGACACGUGUCAAUUUUUAAUUGGUUAGUAAUCCAUUAACUCGUGCCAGGUCAGCUGUUGACGUGGCACUUACGAACCACUGAAUAUUUUCUGCAUUGGCAGACUAUAAAAAAUCCUUUUCUUUUCCCCUUAAUUAAAGCAUCCAAUCCCCAAACUGCGGAGGAAUCUCCAAUCAUGCCCAUAACCAUUUCUGGUUCGAACAAAAAAAGAAGAAGUAUAUUAUUUAGGAACUUAAUAGAACGAUCAUUUUACUAAAAAUUUAUGGGGCAAUUAUAAUGUAUAAAAAAAUUGUUUUCAAAUUAAAAUAAAAAUAAAAAUCUGUAAAAAAAAAGUAAUCUAAAAAAUUUGUUUCUAGACGUUUUUUCUUUCAGAAAUAAACUUCAAAUAAACAGCGCGCCUAUAGUUUAGCACUUUAAGCCACUUACAAAUUGCAUAUAUAUAUAUAUAUAUAUAUAUAUAUAUAUAUAUAUAUAUAUAUAUAUAUAUAUAUUUGGAUGUUGAAUAAUUUAGAAAAAAAUUAGGCCAAGUUACCUGCGGCCAACUUCGAGCCCAACCUCGGAGCCUACUUCCGGCGUCGUCGCCGGCAGAGUUGUCCGCGCUGCGUCUAGGCUGACGCCGCUGCGUGUCCAGGCUGAGCCGUCCCUCCGUGUCCAAGACAGAACGCUUCAGAUCUGUGGACGAGAAGAAGAGGAACGAGCUGUCAUCGCAAGUGACGAGCCGUUCACAGAUCUGAGCGCUCUGAUCCUCGCUAGUAACGACGGCAGCGGCUUGUUACUCACGCCGACGUCCGAGCGGUGGGCGUGGAGGUUGGAGCUCAGAUCUGUGGAGGAGAGGCCGUCCGUGGCUGACCACCGCUUUGCAUCUCUAGGUCUGUGGACUAGCAGCUCUAUCGGCCAAGGCACAGCCGCUGGGACGACCAGAUCUGGAUUCUGUUGCCGGCCGAAGUUGUGGGCGGAGCGAGAGAGUCGAAAACGCUACGGAUGCCCUAAUUUAAAGAUGUUAAGUAGAUGCUUCUUCACACGCUACGGAUCCUUUUCAUAUGCUAAAUAUCCUAAUUUAAAAAUAUUAAGUAGUGUUAAAACUUUUUUUUCGCUCACUUGAGUAUCACAAAUUUGAAAAAUUGAUCAUUUAAGUGUCAUUUUCAAUUUGCCUCGUCGAAAACGCUAAUGUGACUGCUGGAAAAUAUUUUAAAUAAUUUUUUUAAAUAUAUUUUUUGAAUUUUAUUUUUUUUUUUAUUUUGUCUUUUUUUUAUUUUUAUUUUUUAGGGUUUGCGAGAGUUACUAGUGAUCCUCACUGAUUGCAGUUGCCUUUGCCCUUGGCCAUGAAGGCCCUCGGCGAAGCCAUCACUUUGGGCGACAUGCAGCUUUAGGUAGUCGUGAGCCAUGUCACGAGGGUCGUUGCGGCCUCACCUAGAGCCUUCGCAGCAAGGGUGAGAUGGUCUUUGCCCAAAUCUGACUGCGAAGACCCUGGGCAAGGCCAUUAGGGCCUCUCUGACCGCUAGCGAGGCUGCAACAACCCUUACCUGCCCUAGGUGUUGUUGCCUGUGUUUGGCAAGGGCCCUUGUAGUGUCACCCAAGGCCUUCAUGGCAAAAGGCGAGGUGGCCAUAGCUAGCGAGGGUCGCCGGUUACCCUCAUCGGCCCUAAAGAAAAAAAAAACUAAAAAAAAAAAGCAAAAUACAAAUAAAACUAAAAAAUUUAAAAAAAAAUCCACGCAGGACAUUUGACUAGAAUUAACAUUCAAGUGAUCAUUUUUUCUCUGAUGUGGUACUUAAGUGAGUGAAAAAGAAGAAGAAGAUUUUGACACUCAAGUGAGCACCGUACGAAUGUUUUGGCACUACUGUUCUUUUGCCCUUAUUUUUGCAUUCUAGGACGAGAGAGGUUGUUGUCGCAUCUUUGCAGGAGGGGACUGGAUCUUUGAAUUUUCUGAAGGAAACCAUCAAUGAGGUGGGGGAUGGGGGACGAAGAUGGAGCGUGUAGUUUGCCUUGCAAAUUGCAAUGACUUUAUCUUGAAUGGACCUAGUUGUGAAAUUGAUUUGAUUGAGUGAGAUGGAAUAGGAUUAAGAUAGGAUGGUGUGCAUUUUCCAAUCGAAAUGUUAAGGAUAUUGAAUUUGACAUGUCAAAAACAAAAUUACUAAAAUAUGUGACUAAUCGUAAGUAGAUGAAUAGGGAAGUGGAUUAUGUUCAAAUUUAUCCAACUAGUUUGAGGUAUUAUUUUGUGAAUUGAUAACGAGCAUACAUAAUUUAGAAUUGAUAGCUUUGUAUUUCUAAAGUACCUAUAAAAUAAUGAAAAAACACUAUUGAAUACCAACCGAAUGAGUGAUAUGUAUCAUGUUAUGAUAUCUUCCAGAAUAUGAUAUAGUUAUUCUAACAUAUAGUAAUUGCUCAAGAUAGUAUUGUGACUAGAACAUACAUCUUGAAAGAGAACAAUAUUUGGCGCUUUGGACGGUAGACUAAAGAGAAAUUGAUUUCUAGAAGUGUUCCCAUCGAGUCAUUCAAUUUCAAAUUAAUAACCUAUCUUUGAUGAAAUCGAGAGGAGGGAUGAACUUCACUCAGCAAGUGAUAAUUUACCAAAAUACCACUCGACACAAACACACAAAAGAAAUAUCACUAUGUAAAUUCAAUGCUAACCUCUCCGUGAGUCGAAGUUGGCUAUUACACCAUGCCAUGGUUCUUAAAAUUGGCUAUUUUGGAGCCGGCAUGCUAUGCUCUACAGGUCGACAGCAUGGUCUAUCAUGAGUAUUUCGAGUGGGCACCAUGGAUAGUCAUGCUUUUCAAUUUGCAUCGGUAAUAUAGGGGGGAAAACAAGAAGAUGCAACAUGGGCGCUGACUGUUGAUAAAAAUGGGAACUUCUGCUCGUUGUACGUUGUGCAUUGGACCGAAGACCUAUUCAUGUGGACGGGCUAAUUGAAGUACCUGGGUUCUUAACUGGUAGUCCAACAAGAUUGGGCUUUCCCUAGUAAAGCAGCUCUUUAAGCCCAUGUAGCACAGAAGAUGCUUGGCUUCAAACAUGGACUUUCUUUCAGCUUGUCCCCCUUUACUUUCAAUAUAAGCAAUAAAAGAUCUCUAUCAUCCCCAAAAUAAAGGGAUAGAAAUGUCUGUAAUUAAAUGGUUUUACUUCCCAGACUUCAAUGAUCUCUGCUCAUAUAUUUUAGUUUCUCCUGGUGAGAUAAUCCCUGGAUCAAAUUUCUAUAAAAGUUUCUUUUUCUUUCUUUGGAUGAAAGAACAAGUUUACAUAAGUCGAUAGCAUAACAUAAUAUGAAGAUGAGUAACGCUGCAUAAAACCGUAAGUACUAUGAUGGACAGCCUGCUGAAAAACAUUGAAAAGCAUAAUCUCUAGCUUCUCCUGAAAGCUUCUUGAGCAAGAGGAGAGGAUCGAGACGAGUGAAGAAUGCAACCGUCUAAUUAUAGGCAAAAUUAAGAGUACACAAAUGCAUUUCUCAUGAAUUUCGUGGAUUUAUUUGGUCUAUUGCAGAAGUAGUUCGCCUUUAGGCAAAACCGAAUGCAAUCAGGUUCAAAACUACUUUUAGAUGGAGACCCAUGCGUUUCUCCAAAUUUAAUUUCUGUUUGAUGUUUCCUUUUUAUUUUACAUAUUUUCGUUCUUUUCUAGAUUUUCACUUUUUACUAUUUUGAAAACAAACUUUUAUAUUAUAUUUAUCACAUAAGAUGCCAUGUCAAUCUUAAUAGACACGUCUAUAUCUAUAUUUAAUGGAAGGACCAACUCGAAUAAAAGAAAUACUUCGGGGAUUUAAUUAUAUAGGAAAUGUUGAUAAAUCUGAUUGAACAUUUUGCAAUAAUUCAGUAACUUUCAAUACUUUAUUCCUUUUUUUUUUUUUUUUUUUGUGUGCAUAUGAUGGGGCUUGUCAAUUAACUCACACAAGGUCAAUAGCCCGUGCAUCGCAUGGAAUUGUCGACAACUAUUUUGGGCAUGACAUUUUUGAAAGCUUUGAAGCUCUAAUUACUACUUGUAAACACUACUCAUUGUUGCAAGGAAGACGUUUCGCAUUAAAACAUUUUUUACGCACUGAAAUGAUAGAAAAGCUACCCAUGAGAUCCUUAGUAACAGUGCAGUAGUAGCUACACAUUUUCUGUAUUCAUCCAGCUAACAAAUUAUGACAAGCAAAAUAUCAACAAGGAACCCGAUUCAAACUAGUCCUAAAAUUGCUCCUUUACAAUCUUGAGUUAGAACAACUCCUGUGGAUGUUUUCGUUCGUGAUCCUCUAACGAUGCUGCAACCUUGAAAUCAUAGUAACGUGCUUCUGCCUCGCAUUUGCAACAGAAAUUAUCCAAACAUAGUUUCAUAAGCACAUGUUGGUUUUGAGACUCACCAAAAGAAAAAUGGAAGAACAUUCGAGGAAACUUGAGCUUUGACAAUUUCGUCUUGAGUCUCCUCUUCUUGAAGUUGAAGCUCCAACCCUUCCUGAACUUGAAGCAGGUCCCCUUCCAGAACUCAAAGCCUUUUCAUUUCUUGAACUUGAAGCUGUGCCCAUUCCUGGACAAAAACCCAGUGCCAUCUUGUGAAGUUGAACCUCUACCGCUUUUUGAACUCAAACCCGUGCCCUUUCCUGGACGGAAAGUUGUGCCCUUUCCCGAACGUGAGCCUCUAUCUCAUCCUGAACUCAAAGUCCUGUUCCUUCCUGAAUCCACGUCCGUUCUGAAAGCCAUGCUCUUUCCUUAAUUUGAAGCCAUGCCUCUUCCUGAACUCAAGGCCAUUUCUGGAACUCAAACCUCUACCCCUUCCUGAACUUGUCGCCAUGCCCUCUCCUAGACUUGAAGCUAUGCCCUUUCCUCUGCUUUCAUUACCUAGACACUUCCCUGAGCUCGAAGAACCUCUAGCUCCACCUCCUCUGCCUCUAUUUGCAGUUACUUGGUCAGUCGCGACAAUCCUAUCCAUCUCCAUCUGGACCAUACUAAUCUUCCUGUAAGUAUAUAUAUGUUUGGAGUCUAUUUGCUGGUAACAGGUAUGGAGAACUUCAUUUCAUCCCUUCAUUCUCAAUCUGACGUGAUCUGCUUUGAAAGUUUAGAGAAGACGAUGACAAUAUUCGUAUCGAGAAAAUAGUCUUUUGCUGAUUUGAAAGCUUUUCUUUGAAGCAAGGAUGACAUUGUACUCCCCAAAUUAAUAUAAGGAGCUAAUUGCCCCCAAUGGAAAAUAUAGAGAUGGCGUUCAACGUUCAAUAAAAGUUCAGGACCUAAUCGCACCAAUUAAAAAUUCAAGAAUGUUGUCAGAUAUUGGAAAAGGUUCGAAGAUUAAUAGUGUCAUUGUAUCAAGAAAAAGAAACACACAAUCAAACCCACUAGACUACAACUCCGAUUGCUUUUGCUUAUUCUCUCCUGAGGUUGGAUUCUUGUUCCACCAUGGAGUUCCCUCUCCCUCAAGUGUGGCUCAUGAUUCAACGCACUUCUGGAAUUAGUUAACACUCGCCUUAUGUGUUUANNNNNNNNNNNNNNNNNNNNNNNNNNNNNNNNNNNNNNNNNNNNNNNNNNNNNNNNNNNNNNNNNNNNNNNNNNNNNNNNNNNNNNNNNNNNNNNNNNNNGAGAAUCUUCUCUAUCUAGUUCUUCAAAGAGAUAUGAAAGAAAUUGCCUGAAUCUUUGAUAAAUUCUCUGCGCAUUCUUGUAUGUUGACGUGUCACUAAUCUGGUAUAUUUGUGAGAGAUACGUUGAUCAACCUUUCCAAUGACUCGGCACCGUCUGGCUCCCAAGGAUUCCAGGAACUCUAGUUUUUCAAGGCCCCGGCACCAGUUAAUCCAUCAAACUCUUCAGGUUCUUCGAGUUUGACAGCCCAGCUGAUCUUCCAGGAGAUGUGCAGCCACGAGCACGGAUAUAUUCUAAUGAUUCCAAAGCACCCACAGCCACGAAUGAAUAAAGUCAGACGAAUUUCUCGAAUCUCAAGUUGGAGCGGAGUGACCCUGCGGAGCGAGAACAUAUUAAACGGAGAAGACUGGGAGCUCUACAAGGGGUCGGAGGUCUAGUUUAGGCAGAGUAAGCUUUUCCACAUGCGAAAGAGAACCCAAUACUGUAGGCGGUCCAGCAACGAUAAUUGGGUUUGAUGUCUAUGCGCAAUCAGAGUCCUGCACGACCCAUAUGAAAUAUAAUAAGAACUACGUCGUACGCCAAAAGUGAAUAUAUGAAUUUCGCUUAGGCGAGCGCAACGACAAUCUCCAGGAGAAAGGACUUGAAGACGUGCCACAAAGUGUUGUGAUAUCAUGAACAGCUUGAAGAGUAAAUUUGUCCUAGAAUUUGCACCAGAUAAACCCGCAAAAGAGAGAUGAAAAACAAAAAGAAGCGUGCCCAUAUAAAAACUGAAGUACGAGUUUAUACUCUAUUGAGUUUCCGUUCAUCGGCAUGAGAAUAUACGAGCAUACAUUCUUGACAUGUCUCUCGUUUUCAUCUAUACAUUUUCGAAGUGUGACUCAACUGACCUGAUUUUGACCCUUUUAAAUUUCUAGGUCACGAAGAAUGUACCAACAGUCGGAUAGUUUUCGAGAGAGAGCAAGAUGCGUACAAUUUUUAUAAUAACAAAUGCUGCAAAAGUCGGGCUCAUUGAGAUUAAUUCAUAUAGGGCUUGUUCUUUUACGAAGUUUUCUAUGCAAAGAAUGACAAAUUUCUCCCACUAGGUCAAGCCCACCGCAAAAGAGGUCACCACUUGUAAGUUCACAAUUUGGGGUCACUAACGAAAAAACUCAGGAGAUACGUGUUAGCGUCCCCUUUAUUGGAGACAGCAGAUUGGCCAAUGGGAAUCCGUGUCCCAUAACCACUAGUUAGUUUUAAGUCUCCUAAAGAAAAAUAUAGGAAAAUUCAAGGAAAAUAGAAUUUUACCUUGACACAAUGAGUCUCCCCCCAAAAGUAAGGUUCGUAACCUUGGCGCCGCCCCCAAAGAAUGAAGAACGUGGAUAUCUACCAGACACGUCAUAUUACCUUAGAACUUCCGCUUGCUUCAGUGCUUGUUCGUGCUGACCUUAUUGUUCUUGUCAUGACCUCAGUGUCUUAGACUCAGUCUCAGCCGAGCUUGGGCCCUUAUCCGUCCCUAAACUCGUGCCCAUUUUAGCCACGCCCCCUCCGAAACUCAAAGUCGUGCUCCUUCCUGAGCUCGCGGUUGCACCCUUUUCUGAGGUUGAAUCUGUGCCCCUUCCUGUACCCAAAGUUGCGCUGCUUCGUGGACUUGAAGAACCUCUGUCCAUCCCGGAUCUCGAACUCGUGCCCAUUUUCGUUGCGCCCCUUCCUAAACUCAAAGUCGUGUCCAUUCUUGAACUCGAAGUUGGGCCCUUUCCUAAUCUGCCCCUUUCUGUACUCAUAGUUGCGCUGUUUCGUGAACUUGAAGCUAUGCCCCUUCCUGAACUUGGACUGGCGCCCUUUUCAGUUGUGCCCCUUGAACAUGAACCUCUACCUCUUUGUAAACUCAAAGCCGUGACCCUUCCUGAGCUCAAAGUUGCGCCCUUUCUUGAAGAUGUAUAUCCGCCCCUUCCAGAACUCGAAGUCACGCUACUUCGGGAACUUGAAACUAUGCCCCUUCCUGAAUUUGAUGCCACGCCCUUUCCAAAAGUAGAAGCCGUGUCCCUACCCAGCCUUGAAGCUUUGCUCUUUCUUGAAGUUGAAGUCAUACCCCUUGCUUUGCCUCUUUCUGCUUGAUCCCUUCCUGGGCUUGAAGCACAUCUGGUCCCACUUCCUCCGCUUGUUUUUGCAAUUACUUGGUCAUUCUUCACAGUUCUAUCCCUCUUCACCUGGACCAUGUUGAAAUUCCGCGUAAGUUUUUAAGGACUGCACAAUUAAUAAAAUGCAAAUCUUCAGUACUUACAGAAGAAAAAUCUCUGUGAUCCUCGACUUCAGUUGUAGCUUUGUUGGAUAUCUCAUCAUGUUCAAUUCCUUGGCAGCUCGAUCGAACAACAUUGUUCCGGUUGGCUGGUUCUCCAAGCUCCUCCUUGUACUCCUUCCUAUUUUCCACGCUCGCCAUUUUCCCUCCAUCGACACUGCCAUAAUGCGAAAUCCUUCCAUCCCUCAUUUGCCUCCUAUUUCUCGUGGCCUCAACACAUUCAGCAUCGCCCAGCUUUGACUGAGAAUCAUAAAGUGAGAAGGUGCCAUCAGUUUCGCUUUCACCCAUAGAUGCAGUGUCUGAGUUUUCAUCAGGACCAGAAACGUCCCAGUCAGCCUCAUCCUCAUCGGAAUACUCAUCAGUCCUCAUUGUCCAUUCCUCUCUUAACAUCUCCACCACCCCCGUCAUCAUAUUCUCCCUCCCACUCACUGUCAACUCCUCCCUCGACGUACAGAUGAAUCGAUCCUCUUUUAGGUGCUAGUUGCACCAUUCCCUUCAUUUGCUCAUCACUCUUAAUCUCUAUGAGCAACUCGCAGUAUUCACCCGGAGUCUUGUACCACAUUCUCUUCGAACGAAAGCCAAAAUCUUUAAUGUCGGCAAUCAAUCCUUUAUAUGUCACCCAAUUAGAGGUGUAACCUUCGCUUUCCCACAUUAUUCCACCAACAAACUCAAAAUUAGACUUCUUUACUCCAAUGUGGAAUUUGAUUGUGAAGGGAUGUUCCAUCUGUGGUGUAACAAGUUCAAUGUGAGAGCCAAACAGCAUAUCUAUUAAAUACAUAUGGAAUCUUUUUGCAUAUUUACCCUAAGUCCAAUGCGGCACAAACAUCAUUCAUUAGUUAAAGACAUCCAGGAUUAAAUAUUUAAAUGUCUAAUGGAAUAUCAGUAAUACUCAUUUGAUCUUUCUUUCAUUAACUAAGUUUGAACUUUUAAAAAGAAUGUGAUGUAAAUUUUAAUUAAACAUCAAAUAAGUUAGAUAACUAUCUACAUGGGAGUACUAUCUCAUCACAGAUUACCUUUUUUAGGGAAAGAAAAGAAAAAAAAAAUGUUAGAAUGCCAAUGCAAGUAGAACUUUUCAGUGGCGGGUUUUUUACUCUUGAUUUGAGGAUUGAAACUACUCACUUUAUACUGAAUGGAAAUAUUAGUUAAUAUUUCAAUCAAUAAUUUGUUCCUCUAUAUUCCAUAUUAACUAGACGAUCCUUUGGAAACAAGAAAUGCAUGAUUUAACAGAGUAGAAAAGUAGACUUUGAUUUAGCUAUAAUAAAAUAAUCUAGAUGUAAAGGGUUGAAUCUACAAAUCCUAAACGUAAAUACAUAAUGUCGACAAGAUCACCGCCUCUCUCUCUCUCUGGAGUUCUCCAGAACUCUCUCUCUAUUCCUCGGGUCUUUUCUCUCUCUCUCUCUCUAGACAAUUCCAAGCCAAUUUCCCUGUCAGAAGAGCAGCCGCAAUUGUUGACAAAUGGGUCAACAAGUUGCAAUAAAAUAAUAAUAAGUAGAAGAGAUAUUGGGAGAGGAGAGUCGGUGAAUGUGCCGACUUUGCCUCCUAUAAAUAGGGUUUCUUGUCCCUUGAGUGUGCGUGGAAUGUGUACGUGAGGUGUGUGGGUGUGUGUAGGGGUCUUGUGUAGUGUAAGUGUAGGGUGAUAAGAAGUAAGUGGGUGUGUGCGUGUGGUUUGUGAAGUGAGUGAGUGAGCAAGUAUAAUGAGUAGCUGUGAGAGUGUGAUAGUAUAGAGAGUUUGUAAUAUUGUUUAUAUAAAAUAAAGUAAUUAUUUUACUUGUACAUCCACUUACUUCUCAACACAUAAAACAUAACUUUAGACAACACAAAAGGUCAAUAAGAAUCACGACUUACUUUCUUUAGAUUUUUUGGAGUUAGUGUUGACAAAUACUGGAAAACACCAUUACAAAUAUGGGCAUAUUCUUAAUGAACUCCUUGCGACAACUAUUCUUGGUGUCCUGCGAUUACCAUCAUUGAUUUUGUCAAAUCUCAUGACAAAGACAAAUGAUGCUCUUGUACAUCACUAGAUGCCUAACUCCUAAAUAAUCUGAAAUGCGAGAAUCUAAAUAUUCUGUGAAGGUAAACAAGUUUUCGACAUUUUGUUUAAAGAUAUGUAAUGACCUGUGAGAAAAAUCUAGAUGUCAAUAUGCAUAAAAACAAAGCCAAGACUUUGAGAGUUCCACAAAUUGUACAGACCGGAAAGUAUUUGGGCAUUCGGUCCCGAUUGGGGAGUUCAAAGAAAUAGAUGUUCACCUAGAUGCUAACUAGAGUUAGUAUGAAACUUGAAGGGGGGAGGAAAAGUAGAUGCCAAGAGCUAGGAGGAAAUGCUUAAAGAGGCACUACCAACCUAUUCCAUAUCCAGUUCCAUUUCUCUUCCUAUUUUUAUGCAAUUAUUUUAGUGAACUUUAAUUCUUCAUCUUUUUCUUUUUUACUCCAAUUACAUUAAUCCGAUCUUUAUGAAUAGUUUUAUAUCAUUUCUACUAUCUUUUAAUGGUAAUUAUAUAUUCCAAUUAAAUACUAAUAUAGAUCCUAUUAUCUUGUUUUUCAAAACUAAAAAAGAGUUUUAUUUUCUACUUUUCGAAUGAAAAAUGCAUUAUUGUGGGGUACAUUGUUUCAAAUCAGUUUAUGAAAGCCUGCAUGUUGCUGUAUUCUUUCUUUAGCUAAAGAUAUAUGCUUUUAAAUUCAUGAGUGUUUCUUUAAAAUGUACUUUUUAGUGAAAUAAUAUGUUUACUUGUAUUAAAGUUACAUUCUGACAUAACGUGUGACUAUCUGUUCAAGCAAUAUGUGCUUUCAUUUUAGUUUGAUAUAAUCAUGUACUUCGAAAGGGCGUGAAUCUCGCGUGGGGGGCAAUUUUCUGUAGUAAUAAAACGCAUAGUCAACUAGUCAAGCCACCGACCAAAAAAAAUAAAAAUAAAAACUAGUCAAGCCCACUGUAUAUGCCUGCCCAGGCAAACAACAAAUAUGCAACGCAAAUCAUUGCUUAAUAUGCAAGUGGAAAGAUUAGCACUGCAUUGAAUUGAUUAAACAGUCUAACAGAAUUAAUAAAGAAAGAGGAAAAUCAAAGAUUCUAAUUAAUUUUACUCAAGAGGCCAAAUUCAUAGGAGAUGGAUUUUUUUUUUUCAUAUCAAACAUAUAUAACAUGAAUAAUCUGCCUCUUGCUCAUCAUAAUUUCCACUUGGGGCGAUACGUGUGAUAAUAUAAUGAGUUGUUGCUUUUCUCUUAUGCAUCUAUGAUCAGGUCAUUGGCAGUUAACGUCUCCACAACUCAUUAACACAAUAAUCGAAUCAAAUUAUCCAUAAUUAGUAUUAAUAUAUGUAUAGUAUUAAAUUUGUGCACUAAUUAUGCCUAUUGCCAAAUAAAAAAAUUAGAAGACAAAGACAUCAUAUGAUGUUUCUGUAAUCUAAAAUUUGUAAUCUAUUAUCUAAUAUCUUAUCUAUGAAAGCAAUUUUUAUGAAUUAAUACCUAAAGAACCCAAGCUAUCCAAAAGGCAAGUAGAGAUAAGUGGCUAAACUAAGGAAAAGGAUCAGCCACCGAAGAAACGCUGUGCCACAAAAAACGACAACUUUAAAAGGGCAGAUUAAAAAAUGAACAUAUGGAAGGAACACUAAUGUAUUCCAAAUUAUUUAGAGAUCAUCUCUGAUAAAUUUUAGUCGUGGAUUAAUGAAUUUAUUUUCGUCCAUGCGAAUUUCAACAUAAUAUUUAACUUUUUACAAUUUGUGUUGUUUUACGGAAGUACGGCAUCAAACUGAAAUUAGAACGAGGUUUUCAAACCCACGCAUUAAUGAUUCAUGUACAUCUACUGUCUAGUGAUGAGGAAGAUGUCGCACCUUAUCUGACUUGGAUUCAAAGGUUGAUGUAUCCAGAAGAAUCUCCUCUCUGUAAUGCUUCAAAGAGAUUGCAGAUGGGUAGUGUUGAGCAAAAUCUUUGCUAAGGCCUCUACACUCCCUUAUUAGGACGCGGCAAUUAUCUGGUAUAUUUGUGCGAGAUAUAUCAAUCAACCUUCUCAAUGAUGUGCACCCUUCGACCUCCAAGUACUCCAAAGACUCUAGCUCGUUUAGGCCCUCAAUGAUAGUAAGUAGAUUGCACCACUGGAUUUCCAAAUUCGCCAGGUUCUUCAAGUAUGAUAACCCAUAUAUUUUUCUCAGAGAUUUGCACUCAAACACGAGGAAGGAUACCAAUGAUUUUGAAAGAUCCAUAAAUUGUAUCUCAACUAGCUCUGGACAUAAAAGCACCCACGCUUGUCGUAGCUUCCUUAAUUGCAAAGGAAUGAAUAAAAUCUGAAGCAGCUCACAACCCAUAACAGUUAAGUUCUCCAAUUGUGGAAGCCCAUCAAGUGGAAUGUAAUCCACUUCAACAUAACAGAGCUCUAAAGUUGACAAAUUUCUCAAUCUCAAGUAGGAAAGAGGUAAUUUUGCCCAUCUGAUGCUUAAGAAUUUUAAAUUCAAUGUUAGCGGAGAGGCUUGAAGCUGCCCAAGGGUUUCCAAGUCUAGGUGAGACAAAGUAAGCUUUUCCAGAUGAGAAAGAGAAGCCAAAUCUAGAGGAACGGGGACGUUUAACAGAUUUAGAUCUAACUUUUUCAAUCUAGAUAAUGUCCAAAUCCAACAUAAGUUACAUUCAGUGAUUAGGUUUGAUUUGCUUGUAUUACAAGAGCCAUCACUCAGUAGCAAUUUAACCAAAUUAGUAAGGUUUGACAAAUUAGGGACUAGGAGCAAUGAUUUAGAUCGAAGAAGUAGACAGGUCAACCUUGGGGGAAGCUCUGGCAAUCUUUGAAUUACAUGACAAUCUCGUAAGUUUAGUUUUCGGAGGUGAUGAAGCAUGCCAAUUGUCCUUGGAAUUCUGCAAAUACAAGUGUGCUCUAAAUUUAGGAUUCUUAAAGAUGACAACUUUCCAAUUCCAAUAGGAAUUUCACCUUUCAUUUCAUUACGCCUAGAGAGAUCCAACACUUCAAGAUUUUCCAACAUGUUGACGCCAUUAGGUAACUGCCAAACAUGAUGCUCUAGAGAAGAUGAUCCGUUCUUUGAGAAACGCAAUGUGCGUAAUAAUGUUAACUUUUCAAUAGACUUGGGAAGUUCCCUUAUGUUCGUAUUUGAUAGGUCUAACUCUAUCAAUGAGGUUAAAUUCCCAAGUGAGCUUGGAAGCUCUCUCAACUCAGAACAUCCCCGCAAUGUGCGUAAUGAUGUUAACUUUCCAAAAGAGUUGGGAAGUUCCCUUACCUUCGUAUCUGAUAGGUCUAACUCUAUCAAUGAGGUUAAAUUCCCAAGUGAGCUUGGAAGCUCUCUCAACCCAUAACAUCCCCGCAAUGAGAGGCACUUAAGCUUCGCUAGUGCCCCCACAUCUUUGGGCAAAUCUGUAAGGUCACCGCAAUUAUUAAUCUCUAACUCAAUCAAUGACUGUAGAUCUCCAAUGGAGCUUUCAAUUCUCUUUAGCCCAUAGCAGUAUGCAAGACUUAACCUCUCUAAACCCAAGUAUUUAGAGAAGUCCGGGAUAGUUGUUAUGUCACUGCAAUUAAUAAGAGAUAGAACUUUCAAAUUAUCUGCUCUCUGCAAAAAUGAAUGGCUUGUCAAGUGUAAGAACUAUUGCACAAUACAAAAUAGGACUAUUAGACUAGAAUUAAAACAUGUGAUUUACCUUGAUCAAGUCCCAUGCUUUCGUAUUAUCCAUGAAGACAGUCCAAUGAAGUUGAAAAACAACAAGAUGAUCCAAAUACAUAUUGUCUGCCUUGAAAUCCCCAAAAGGCUGCCAAGAAAUCCAUCUCAACUUUGAACAACACUUUGCAAAGUCCCCAACAAAAGUUCCAUUGUAUAACUUGAGGAAUCUUAGGUUUGGUAACUUCUCAAGCUCUUCAUUUGUGAUUUCUAUGAUGCUAGCCCAUUGAUUUAUCUCAAGCGCUUGAAUCUUGUCCUUUCUCUACAAGUGAAUUUUGUAAUGGUGUUAAGAAGUUUGGCAACUUACAACAUGUUUUACAAUUUGAAAGGACAAGGGAAAAAUGAUAUACUACUUCUAUUUGAAAAUCAUAUGCUUCUUUCUUACCUCUUCAGUUCUUAUUAUUUCAAGGGCCUCUUCAGCAAUCCACAGCCUGCUCCGCUUGCUAAGGUCACUUGGACUUUCUUGACGGACAAUUUGCCUUCCCAAGUCAAUAAGUUGAUUAUGCAUCCAGAAUUUAUCGUUGUCCAACAUCUUUAUCAAGCACCUACUGGUAAGGACAUCAAUUCCUCUUUCAGGAAAAAAUUGGCAAUCAGCCCACAUGUAAAUUGCUUUGGUCUUCUUCUCAUUGGAAAAGAAGCAUGCUAUAUCGAGAAAAAUUUGUUGCUGAUAUUCAUCUAGAUCAUCAUAACUAAUCCUCAACUUCUUUAGAAUCUCUUCCUCAGAUAUAUUCCUCAACUUGACCAAUGUCUCUUUCCAAAAUACUUUAUUUUUCUGAUUAAGUAAUGAACCUAUCACUUCUAUGGCCAAAGGAAGUCCUCCUGUACGAGAGACAAUUUCACUUGAAAGCCCCUGAUAAUCAUCCAAAGGAAAGUCUCUACAAAAGGCAUGCCGACAAAAAAGCUGAAGUGCAAUAGCAUCAUCCAUCUUAGGCAUCUCAUACCCUCUAAUCUUUUCUUUAAAUCCAUCAUAUUGCAGAAUAGUUGUGUUUCUUGUUGUAAUGAUUAUCCUAGAUCCUGAAUAUAGUGACUUACUUCCCAUAAGUUUCUUAAUGUGCUCUUUAUUAUCAACAUCAUCUAGAACCACAAGGACCUUUUUAGUGCUGAGUGUUUCUCCAAUCCUCCUCAUUCCUUGCUCACUAUCCUUGACUCCUUCUGCAAAUUCAGAAUUAACAAUGUCAGACAAUAAUUUUUUCUGCAAUUGGAGUAUGCCAUCCUUGGUCAACAUGCUUUCUCGAACAUCCUCAAGGAAACUACAACACUUUCCAAAGUGGGAAGACAGUUCAUUGAACACAACUUUGGCAAUAGUUGUUUUACCAAUACCACACAUCCCAUAAAUUCCAAGGAGCCGCACAUCACGAUGGUUGACAUUUAAUAACUCUGUCAAGCGCUUGACCCGAUCAUCAAGUCCCACUACAUGUUCAGUCACUGAUUUUUGUUUUAGCUCUAGUUUCUCCAAAACCUUUUUGACAACCAAUUUGAUAAUUGUUGCUUGGCUGCAGUGUGCAAAAGCACUUUUAUUAAUUGACUAGAUUAAUCGCAUACCCACGCAUCCCACAUUGGAUUGUCAAAAUUUAACUUGAAUAGAUUGAAGUACAUCACAAACGAGAUCUCGGUAUAAUGAAUAAUUAGAACAAACUAAUUUAGUAGAAUUCACUUGAUAUGUUUUUCAUAUGUAAUUAAAGAUAUGUCUGAAGACUAUAGUAUUGGCUUACAUGAUAGCCAAAGUUACCCAAGUGGCUACUAUCGGCCUGUAUGGUAACGUUUCUAUUUCUCCCGAUUUAUGUUCUUUUGUUCCCUGGAACAAAAAAGGAACAUAAAUCUAUUUGGUAACGCCAACUUAUUUUUCUAUUUCCCCGAAAUAGAAAAGUGGUUGGGGAAUAGAUUUGAAAAAGAAAUAAAAAACAAAAAAAAGUAGUUUUUUUGUUUUCGAGAAUAAUUUCUAGAUAUAAGUCCUUUUUUUUUUUUCUUUUGUUCUUUUUCCUUGUUGUGGCCACCACCAGCCGCCUACCAACCACCUUCGGCCGACCGCCGACAGGCGACCGUCGCCACCACCGUCGGCAACUGCCGCCACCUCCCGACCGCCAACUAUGGUCGUCGCCGCCCACAACCCACCAGCUACCUCCCACAGCCCAUCAGUCGACAACCACCACCGACCGCCGUCAGCGUCGCCCGACUACCGGUAGCUUGCCACAGUUGCCGCUCGUCGCCGCACGACCACCACCCACCACCGCAAGACCGCCGCCCACAGCCCACCUACCGUCGUUGGCAGAUGGGCGACUGUGGGAGGGGGCGACGGCAGGUGGGCUAUGGGCGGCGAUCCUGCGAUGGCGGUCGGCGGCGACGGUCGGCGGUCUUGCGGCAGCAGGUAGCGGUCAUGUGGCAACGAACGGCACUCAGCGGUAUGUGAGCAAGGAAAAAAAACUAAUAAAUACAAAAAAUUAUAAAUUAUACCAAACACAUUUAUAUUCCUUUUUUAUUCCAAGCAUAUAAAUUUUGUAUAGUUACCAAACACCUUAUUUUACUUAGAAAUUAUUCCCCAGAAUAGAAACGUUGCCAUACACACCCUAUAUCAUGUAUAACAAAAUUUCGGCAUUUAUAGCGAAGCCUAGGAAUAAAUUCAGCACUCAUACUAGGAGAAUCAUGGACCUAGAUGAUGUAGACAAAUGUAGUGUUGUACAUUGAACACUGCAGUUGGCUCUCGCUUCUAUUGAAUAUUGAGACAUUGAUUUUUCUUCACUGAUUCUUAGUUUCCUUUUGUAAUCUUAGACAAAGCAGAGGAUGGGAAGUUGGAAUGAGAGCAAUUUCUAGGGGUAAUUUUUAAUACUUUUCGUGACAAAAAGAAUAAAGGAAAUCAUUUGACAAGGCAAUGUUGUACAUCUUACACACACAAAAAAGAAGAAAUAGAAAGGGAUCUUAAAAUAGUAUUACCUUUGGUCCUUUUUAACGUUCCAUCCCUUAAUUUCAUCUACCUCAGCAAGAGCUUUUCUCCAUGCCUUGACUUCUACGGGAAACUUCUUCUGAUGUUCCCCUAAAGCAGCGCUAUAUUGUGGAGUCUUAAGCUUAACAUCUUCAGGUUCUACAUCGAGAAAAAUGGGAAGGAUACUUUUUUUACCCUCUGAUUGAGACACAUUGUCUAUUAUGUGCGCAAGCUCACGGAGACACCAUUUACUGGAAGCAUAAUUCUGAGAGAAAAUUGAUAUAUAAAUCAUAGAGUUGUUAAUAGCACGUAGAAGGUUCCCUUCAAUCACUUCGCCGACGCUGAGUUCAGUUUCGUCCAUGAAUACGUGGACUCCCGCAUCUACCAAGCCAUGGUAGAGGAAAUCCGUGAACACAUAACGAGUGUCGGAUCCCCUGAAAUUCAGGAACACUUGAUACUCGCCUCCUGAUGUUCGUGCAGCAUCACUACUCGAUCCAGCCUCCGAGUUCGCCAUAGCUAGGAAGCUUGUUACUUCCGGAUCUCUCUCUCCCCUGUAGAGAAAAUAAGUCGAUGUGACGUGGCCUAGCUUAAGAAAUGAGCGGAGGCUUUCGAGGCAAGUGAUAAAAAGGUUGACACCAGUGGGAGACCAGAAAGGGCACCGAUAAAAAAUCCCUUUUCUUUCGCCCUUAAUAAAAACAUCCAAUCCCCAAACUGCCGAGAAAUCUUCAAUCAUGCCUGUAACCUUUUUUGGUUCGAACAGAAAGAGAGAGAGAGAGAGAGAGUAAAAUUUAGGAACUUAAUAGAACGAUCAAUUUUUUAAAAAAUUACGGGGUAAUUAUAAUGUAUAAAAAAUUGUUUUCGAGUUUAAAAAAAAAUAGAAAUCUGGAGAAAAAAACAGUAAUCUAAAAAAUUUGCCAACCUCGGAGCCUACUUCCGGCGUCGCCGCCAGCAGAGUUGUCCGCGCCGCGUCUAGGCUGACACCGCUGCGUGUCCCGGCCGAGCCGCCCCUCCGCGUCCAAGACGGAACGCUUCAGAUCUGUGGACGAGAAGAAGAGGAACGAGCUGUCAUCGCAAGUGACGAGCCGUUCACAGAUCUGAGCGCUCAGAUCGUCGCUAGCAACGGCGGCGGCGGCUUGUUACUCGCGCCGACUUCCGAGGGGUGGGCGCGGAGGUUGGAGCUCAGAUCGGCGGAGGAGAGGCCGUCCGUGGCUGACCACCGCUUUGCGUCUCUAGGUCUGUGGACUAGCAGCUCUAUCGGCCAAGGCACAGCCGCCGGGACGACGGAGGGGUGGGCGCAGCAGUCCGCCGUCGCUCAACAGCCAGACCUGGAUUCUAUUGCCGGGCGAAGUGGUGGGCGAAGAGAGCGAGAGAGAGA